rnacentral:lncRNA from 1 species
CUCGUGAGAACCUAAUUAUCUUCAUCAUCAAGUAUUCAAGAUGGCUUUCACUUUUAUAGAGAGAGCUGCUCUGAACAGAAGAUUUUUCCUAUUUUCCGUAGGUAAGGCAACCAAAGUGACCUUUAAACAAACAAACAAAAGAAAAAAAAAUGAAAAUUUACCUUUACCCUGUUCAAUAAUCAAAGAGUACAACUUAUCCAAAUUUCUCACAUCCUGACAAAAACUAGACAAAGAUGAAGCUUCCUGUGAGAUGUCCUUGUCGAUAAGCCGAUUUUUCCAGCCAAGUGGAUCCGUAUAACAAUCCAAUAUGUGAAUCCUGUAAACCAAAAGCCAUUCACAAUCCCCCACAACAUUGUUAUUAAUAUGGAAACUAAAUGCAAUACACUACCGAGUAUCAAACACACCUUCUACAUUUAAGUGCUAACAGUAAUGAAGUCCACAGAAACCAAUUUAUAAAUCAACACCAACGCGUUCUUUUUUCACGGUAAUUAAAAAAUGACAAACAAGUUGGCCUUCGGGCAGGUAUUAUUCAAGUGAAAAUAGUAUAAUUCACCAAUCAUGAGAUGAAGCUAUAUCAAUUCCUCUUCUCUUCAACAAAUCCACAUAAAACGAUGGGCUCCGAGAAUACGCAACAACAACGAGGCCUCUGCAUAUUGACAAAUAUAGGAAGAACAUAAAUUAGGAAAGCUUGAUUAAUAUAAAAAGACAAAUAAAAUUGAUCAUUGUAAGUAGGGAGAAUUAAAAUUACCUCGACUGAGAUUUUCCCGCCAAAAUGUGGUUAGAGAGCUGGGUAAGCACGUAAUUAAAUACAUCGAAACCGAAGGGUGAAGCUUUGGAGUCUUUGAUGGUGAGGGCAGGUGCGUGUUCUCCUUCUAAGCCUCCGUCUCGAAGUGUUCUGCAGAUAGUGUCAGCCAUUGUUGGUGCCUACUGCCUUCGCCACUGACAGUGACCAAAGCAAAAACCCUAGUUUGGUAAUAAUUUGGGGAUUUUGCAAUGAAGGGCCACGGAAAAAUUUCAAAAUAUUCCCUUUACUUUUCAAAUAUGAAACAUGGAUCCAUUAAUUUAUCACUUGUUUAAAAUUUCAGUAAUGUUAUGCCAACAUCUAUCCAAAAUUUGAAUCUCAAUUGUAGCCGCGGCAGAGUAUGAGUAGCACCGCAAGUAAAAUUUUGAUACCGCUUGUAAAACUUUGAUGAAAUUUAUUCUUAUAAAUACACAAAUAAAUAUUUAAAUUUAUUUACUAUCAAUUACGAGAAUAUAUUGGGUCUUAUUUAAUAUUGAUGUUGAAAAAUUAUAUUUUAAAAAAUAAAAAAAAUAAAAAAAUAUGAUAAACACUAAUUAUUGUGAUUUAAAAAUUAAAUUAAUUUGAUCUCACACUUAUCUUUUACUAAUUUUAUCGAAAUAUUACUUAAAAGUUAUAUGUAUUAUUUAUUAUUAAUUUUUAUUUUAUAAUUAUAAUUUUUUUAUAAUAAUUGUGAUUUAAAAACUAAACUAUAACACAAAGCCUCUACACAAGGCCCAACUAAUGGCCCAAAAGAUUGUUGGCCGACAGCUGGUGAAAAAGCUGGCCCAUAAAAGCGUCGGCCGCUUGGUGAAAAAAAUAUGAUUUUACCAAAUAUUUAUAAAUAAAAAAAAGCCGAAUAAUAUUUUGUGAAAGCAGGAGGGAGGUUGUCUUUGGACGCACCCAACUUUCAUGUGUAGAAACUAGAAACUAGAAAGUGCCAAAUUGCAUGGGCUACAAUUGCGCAACGUGGGAGUGGCCACGCCCUGCGACCGCGAGUGGGCCCUUCACGUGCACAUUAAUAUUAACUAAUUCCUGAAAAAAUAAUAACUGCAAGCUUUCCAGUUUAUUAGCUUUUAAAUUUUAAUUAAUAAAAGAAUUAACUCAAAACAAAGUCAAAUAUUUAUUAAUCAAGAAGCCCGCGUAUGCAUAUACACCCCAAUUAAUACAACAAAAUUCCAUGAUACCGCCACGUGCAGUGACCAUUAGAAACUUCUUUUUGCCAGGUCGUGAUGUUGACAGCGGGCCUUCGGUCCACGUGAUGAACGGUGAUGGGACCCAUAAAAAGUAACUGCCCAGACUCCAACUUACGCAAAAAUGUUAUCACGUUAACAGACGAUCCCCGCGGCUCCACCGAGUCACCGACCGACCAAAGCCUACUAAAAUCAAAAUCAUUAACGACCAAAAAUCGUUGCCAUACGGCGUUACCUUGUACGGGGUGCGAGAAAUCCAACGAGCUGUGUUUUGUAGGAUCCUCGGCGAGCACGAAAUGAUAAUCCCGAUCCAUAUUCCGUCAUCUAACGUGUCCGUCUCUAUCUCCGGUCUCUAUUUUUUGGUAAAAGUCUUGAAAUUUGAAAAUGAUCUCCAUUAAUGACUUUGGACCAAUUUUUUUUUUUUAAUAUAUUACAAUUAGAACUUUCCUUUUACCUAACCAAAUAUCAAUAUUUAAAAAAAAAAACACAAACACUAAUAAUUUUAAUUACUAUUUAAAUUAGUAACAAUAAAAAUUAAAAAGUGGAAGAUAUAAAAUAAAAAAAUUGCAAAAUCUAGUUGAAUUUGGUAUUAUGUAGUUUGAAGUUAAUUGUGAAAUUUGAUUUUUUUUCCUUUUUAAUUAAGACAUGAAAUCUGAUAAGAGUAUUUACAUGUCAAUAUAUUUUAAUAGACGCUUGAUUAAUUAGAUCACGCAAAAAAUAUGAUAGACUAAUUUAUCUUGAAACUAACAAGUGAAUCAAAUAAAUGCAAACUGCAUUGAUUUUUUUCCCCUUGUUUUAAAGAAUACAAGAAUUAUAAACUAUAUAUUUUCCACGUAUAUUAGAGGAUUCAAACUAUGGACUCUUUUACCACCCAAUAUAUUUUAUAAUUUGAGUCCACCGACUCCCAAAUUACUCUUAUGAAAGGUGGUAUCAGAUACUAAUUUAUCAUCUUUCCUUUUUUGAAAAAAAAAAAUUUAGAAUGCUAAAACAAAUUCUCAUAAGCUUAAAAUCCAGUUAAAUUUGGAAGGAUAUCUGCAUGAAUCUAAACAAACCUCAUUGGAAUGGAAAUAAAUUAAUUUCAAAAAUUGCUAAAAUUCCCAUAAAAGUAAAAGAAAAUAAUUAUAAUUAAAGCAAGAAAAUUAAAUUAAUUUCAAAAUUUGAUAAAAUUCCCCGUAAAAGUAAAAGAAAAAAAUUUAAUUAAAGCAAGAAAAUAAUAAAUAAAGUCAGAAGUUCCUUUCCGUGCCAAACAAGUGAAAAAAAAUUAAAAUAGAAAAAAUAGGAAGAUGAGAAAGAAAGGAAAGAAAAAGAAAAGAAAAAGGAAACUGUAAAGUGCGUCAGAGUCAUAAUAAGCAUAGCCCACUUCGUCUUCACUCAAUCUCUCGAAUCUCUCUCUUUCAACACGCUGUUUCCCUCUCUCUUGUUACCCUUUCAAACUCUUUAAAAACCAGCAAUGCCACCCCAUUCUAGCCAUUACCCAUUUCCCCAUACACUCUUUUAGGACUGCCCGUCUGCUCAUUUCUUCGAAAACUCAGUACCAUGGACGCUGAUUCGAAGGCUGCAAGGAGGCUGACGUGUUCCGUCCAGAAAUACGAUUGGGGCCGAACCGGUGCUGACUCCCUCGUUUCCAAGCUGUACGGGUUGAACUCUGGGAAGAGGACUGAUAUCGACAAGCCUUAUGCCGAGUUCUGGAUGGGAACUCACGAGUCUGGGCCCUCGUUUCUGGCGAAGAAGGGCGGUGCUGGUGGCGUUGCUGGCGCAGUAGUAAACGGGUCGUCGGCGAAUGGUGGGUGUGGUGAGAUUGUCAGUUUGAAAUCAUGGAUAUUGAAGAAUCCUAGUGUGCUUGGUGAUAAGGUUUUACACCGUUGGGGCUGUGAUCUCCCUUUCUUGUUCAAGGUUUGUUUUCUUUUCAUGUUUUUGCUGCCAUAUUUUUGUUUAUUAUUAUUUUUUUUAAUGUGGGUAUCUGCGUUUUUCCAAAAGGGAGUAACUUUUUUCGGCUGAUAAUCAGAGUUAGUAUGUGAAAUGGCCAUUAAAGCGAAAAUUGAUUAAUUGGAAUGGAGUCGCAAGUCUUGCCGCCUGGCAAAAUGGUUUUUGCAAAUUCAAAUUUUCGUUUUUUAUUAUAUUUUUAAUGUGUGUGUGUGUGUGUUUUUUUUUAAUUGAAAUUGUGCUUUUGGCUACAUAUGAAUGGACAUUGGUGUGAGAACUGAUUCAUUUGAAUAGUUCCUAAAAUCAUGCUACUUGGAAAUUCUUGAUGGGAAUUCAGAAGUUGAUUACUGUUGAACUGAAUUAAAAAUGAAUUUGUAGAAGAUGGUUGGUCAUUGUUAAUGGUAAAAACUUAUACCUGUUCAACAAUGGUAAGUUGAUUGGUAAUGAUCGUGUUUUCUGUUUGAAAUUUUAGUAAAAUUUACUAUUGAGAAGUUGAGGCUUAGAAUUAUAGAAUGUUUAUUGCCUACCUUAUUGUUAUUUUUUUGAAAUUUUUGGGUUGGUAUUAUUUUAUUUUUUCAAUUAUAUCUUUCAAGAGAAAGUAGGUGUUUUGGGGGAAUAAUAUGCCUUGUAAUAUAUACAUGUACUAUGAAUGUUAAGAUGGGAAUUGAUUCAUUAGAAUGGAUUCUUAACUCCUACAACUUGAGAAUUCUUCAUGGGAAUUCAGAAACUAAAUUGAUCUGAAGUUUGGAAUGGUGGAUGGUCAUUGUUGAUGGUAAAACUUUAUCCUGGUCAAAAAAUGUUGGUUGGCUACUAGCAUUUACAUUUCAGUCUUAAAUUUAUUAAAUUUUCUAUUAGGAAGUUGAGAGAAUAUAUACCAAGGGUUGUUCUUGCUUAUCUGUGUGAAUUAUUAUUUUUAAAAUUAAAAGAGAGAGAGAGAGAGAGAGCUAGAGAGAUGAUUUAGACUGGAGAUGAUUUUCUUUCUAAUUUUCUAUUCUAAUCUCUUAGUUUAUACUAAUGUCUUCAUCAGUCUCUUUCCCAUUUUUUUUUUUUGGGCCUUUGAAUGCUUUUGGAGAGAAUAUAUUCCUAUUCUUAUAAUGUCCCAUUAUUCCCUCACUUUUCAUGAGCCUGUGCAUAAUUAUCUCAAAAUACACCAAAAAGAAAAAGAAAUCUUCAUGAUCUUGGAGAUUCUUUAGUGAUGUGCAAAAAGCUUCAAAGAUCACAUUGUUCUGUUAAAAACUAUGAUUGGGGCCAAGUGGGCCAUGACCCACAGUUGCAACAGUGUUUAGUCGAAAUUCUGGGAAAAGCCUUAUGCUGAGUGGAUGGGCACUAAUGACUUAGGACGGUUGGCUAUGAGUUGGGUUAGAGUGAGAGUUUGAUAAGUUGGGUUUGUUCUGUCUUCUUUAAAGUGGGGAAUUUAAGAUCGUAUGUACUGAUUUGUUUCUGUAACUGAUUUUCCUUUUUUCAAAUCAAAUUCAUGACUCCUAACUUUAUGAUUUCGUUUGGCAGCAGUGACUGAUUUUCAUUGUUUGGUAUCGUCUUAGGUACUUUCAGUUGCGAAAGCAUUGUCAAUACAGGCUCAUCCAGAUAAGGAGUUGGCAAAGACACUGCACAAAUUACUGCCAAAUGUAUAUAAGGAUGACAAUCACAAGCCUGAGAUGGCCUUGGCAAUAACAGAGUUCGAGGCCCUUUGUAGCUUUAUCAGUCUUCAGGUAUCAUAUCAGUUCUCCAUCUCAAAUAAAUUGUUGUGAUUGUAAUUGGUUAUUUUCAGAAGAUGAAUGUCACUAUUUUUCCUGCUCAAUAUGAUUCUGAUUGCUUUCCUUUGUAUCUUGAAUAAUUUAACUUUUUUAAUGUCAUUUUGUCUUAUAUGUCUUGUUACCGAAAUUUAACUUACAAUCAUACACUGAAAACUUUUUUCUCAGUUUAUUUUGCCAAGAUCUUUAAAGAUUCGCUGGUGUGAUCACAUCAUGCCAGUUUUUUGGAAGAGAGCUCCUCAGAGCUGAACUGUUGUCCAUAUCCUCUCCCCAGAUCAGGACAUUUGCUUGCGUAGUUACUGGGAAACUGAUGGUAGAACACUAUAGUAAGGAUUAGGAUGGUCUUACUUAAUCAAGGGAAAAUAAAAAAGUAGAGAAAACUGAAAGGUUUGUGAUUUAAUUGUUCUUGAAACUUGACUAUUGCUGUAUCUGAGCUUCUGUGCAAACCAUACAGGUUUCCUGAAACUUUUAAUCUAGCUGGGAGGCCUAGGCUAUUACACCUUUGUUGACUGAUUUGAUUCUAAUGCCACCCAUAUGUUGUACCUAAAAGUUUGAUGGGUUAACUACAAUUUUAUGAUGGAAUUCUUUUAAUUCUUAAUUGAGUUCCCACACUACAAAAAAGGGGUAAUAUUCCACCUCUCUCUUUUUCUUCUUAUUCUUUGAAGAUAUAUACACGUAUUGGAUGGUUUUGUGGAAAAUAAGUUUUUACUUUCAGCUGAUGUAAGUAGCAUAUGCUUACUGAUGUUGAUGAUUCCAGGAGCUCAAGAGUGUGCUGCAAAACGUUCCUGAGAUUGUGGAACUUGUUGGCAGCGAGGAAGCAAACCGAGUUUUGCAUGUUGAAAUGCAGGAUGGGGAGGAGAAAGCAAAAUUUGUUCUGCAGUCAAUUUUCACUAAUCUCAUGACAGCUAGCAUGGAGAUGACAACUAAAGCAACAACAAAACUGAAAAGUCGCCUGCAUAAGGAAAGUCAGGUUAGUGGAAGAUCCCUUCUUAGCAUAUAAUUUUUAGACCAUAUUUUAUGUUUGUUUUAGUGGAAAUUCUCGAUGUUGUGUGCCUUAUGUUGUUAUUCAGUUGUAUUCAUUUUUGUUCCCCCCCCGCCCCAAACUGCUUCAUUGGGAUUGAUAACAGUUACAACAACUCUUAGAUGACAUUGCAUAGAUAUUUUCUUUAACAAGGGGGCACAUCUCUGUAACAAUAAGAUCUAUGAACAUGUUGCUUGUUAUUUUACUAUCUCCAGCUAGAAUAUGAAAAGUUAUCUUUCUUUUGCUUCUCUUCCUGUAAUAUUCUCAACCAUAAUGAUGAAAGUUGUUCCUUUUCUGUAUGCAUUAGGUGAGGCCAUUGACUGAAAAGGAGCAGCUGGUGUUGCGGUUAGAGAAGCAAUAUCCAGCUGACAUUGGUGUCAUAGCAGCUUUCUUUUUUAAUUAUGUCAAGCUUAAUCCUGGUCAAGCACUGUAUCUUGGAGCAAAUGAACCCCAUGCAUAUAUUUCUGGUGAAUGCAUUGAAUGCAUGGCAACUUCAGAUAAUGUUGUUCGGGCUGGUCUUACUCCUAAACACCGAGACGUUCAAACUCUCUGUUCCAUGCUCACAUAUAAACAAGUAAGAAUUUGUUGCUUAUUGUGUUCAUGGUUUUUAGAAUGAACUUUCUGAUAGGGUGAAACAGAGCAUUAUAUGGAUGUGAAGCUAGUAGGAUGAAAACACUGACACACUUGCCAUCAAUGAAGACAAAACUGUUAACUCAUCAGCUUCUUUUCUGCAUCUUUUUCAGGGCUUCCCUGAAAUCCUGAAAGGGUUUCCAUUGAGUCCAUAUAUAACAAGGUACCUUCCGCCUUUUGAUGAGUUUGAGGUUGAUUGCUGCAUACUUCCCAAGGGAACAUCGUCCGUGUUUCCAGCAGUCUCUGGUCCUUCAAUUUUCUUGGUCACAGAUGGCGAGGGAUCAAUGCUUACAGCAUCCCACAAUGAUGCUGUUGCUGAAGGAGACGUUCUAUUUGCUCCAGCCAACACUGAGAUUAACAUAACUACUUCAUCCAAGUUGCAACUGUAUAGAGCAGGGGUGAACAGCAGGUUCCUCCAAAUUGUAUGAGUACAAAACAGUAGUUUCGGUCCUCUUCUAGUCCAGCAAAUGAUUUUUUCAUUUAUGCUAUAUAGUUCUACAGUUUAUAAUUUGGCCUUUCUACUAUAAUGUAAUUUUAGAACUUACAUGUAAAUGCGUUGUGAUAUAGUAAAAGUAAUAGGAUUUAAAAUUAUACCUCAUUCAGAAAGGAAAUGCAAGCUGGUUGUUCAUAAUUCUUCUAAUCAUUCUGCAAUUAUGUUAAAUCCUCCAUUCCUUUCAUUUUUCAUUUACGCUUAUGGAAGAUUGGAAACAGAUUUUGUAAUUAAAAGGAUGGUUCGUGGGAGGACUGUACUACUAAUGAUCAAAGAAAUGGAGGAUUUACAUGGUAGUAAGAGACUGCAAUGGUAAUAUCUAAAAUUUUCAAUCUUUUCCUUUAACUACUUCAUAACAUUUAUCCUUUAUUAACUGAAAUUUGCAUGACUAAAUCAUCCCUGUCAUUUGGAGAUUUGGAGUAGGAUUGGAUUAUUUCAACUUACAUUUCACUUGAACUUGUAGCCAUUCCUUGUUACUGCUCAUAUCAAAAAGUUUUAAGUUGGCUAAGAAGUUAUUAAGAUGAAAAUGGGCAGCUUGACUUUCGGCGCCUAUCAAAAAUUUAAGUUGAAGUUGGGCGGUUGUCAAAGUGUCUAAUGUCUUCCCCCUCUCUCCCUCUCCCUUUUUUUUUUUUUUUUUUUUUUUUUUUUUUUAAAUAUAUUACAAUCUUACAAAGACAGGUUUAUAAUAAUUUGGGAACCACUGUAGUCGGAAUGCAUAUGCUUGUAUAGCUCAAGGUCUACCGAGCAUAAAACAAGAAGAAUUUGCGCAUUAACUUAUCCGUAAAGAGAUGUAAAAUGGUUACAUAAAGAGAUGAGUCCCAUGCGUUACACAAGCCUUGCGCAAACGGGACAGCCACAGGCAAUCCACGCACACGUGUUUUAGCAAAGCCAACAGCUUAACAUUCAUCAAAUAUCAAAUGGUAAAAUCUGUGCAACUCCUAACAUUGCAAUGAUUAUAUAAAUCUCAAAAUUUCGUCCCAGCAUGAUCUCACAUUGCUUACCAAGGAUUUUCUAAAUAAAUUAAACUUUGCAGCAACGAAAACAAUGAACAAGUUCAUGUGCUGCUAUUGUUAAGUGCUCUACAAAUAUGCUCCAGCAGAGCAAAUGCUGCAAAUUUAACAUGACAAACACAAGCACAACCCCAUUUGCAAGUAAACAGAUCUCACUUCAACUAGAAGGCACGAUGUUUCUCAGCUCAACAAUUUCAUGAAAUGAAGAAACAAAAAGAAAUUCAUAAAGCUUCAUCUGUCCUAUGCAAAAUGAUGUCAUACCAAAUUUAAGAGUCAAAAUUUUAAAUAGUACCCUAUCCAAAUCAAAAUUAUAGUGCAACAAAAUAAACAGUGACAAACACAAAUGAUCAUCUGCAACAACUCUUCAGGCAUCUGUAAUUGGAUAAUCAAAAACCACGUCUUUGCCGGUAAGCUUUCUGUAAACCCCUGAAAAAGACUCCAACUUGUACUCCGUGUUGUUCCUCUCCUUUGGAUCCAAGAAAAUCUAACAUGCAAGGAAAUGAGACAACCAUGUCAUAUAUGGCUGAUAAUGACUGCCAACUAGGUGCAAACAAAACAUUUAAUACUUCCUACUAAUAUCUGUUGGUAUUUUAUCAGUCACUCAUAAUUAGUAGUUUUAUUUUUAUUUCCAUGACUGAAGCUUUUAACUACCUUGAUUAUUUUGGAUCCAUCGAGACGGUAUCUGACACGUUUUCCAACAAUCUCAGCUGGGUAAACUACAUCUUCAAGCAUGGCAUCAUGAACAGCUGUGAGUGUGCGACUGCGAGGUCUCUGAACAGCAGAGCCUUUCUUUGGUGGCCUGACUAUCCUUCGGGUGGCAAUGAGUACAACAUCCUGUUACACAAUAACAACCAUGUCAAUGAUGCCUGACAACCAUAUUCUUGAAUGUGAAAACUUCAGAAUGCUAGUGCUACAACAUAUUUGCAGGUACAUUCAUAGCAAUGUACUAGAAGGAAUACAUCAUUCAAGCCCAGGAAGAAAAAAAAAUGCUAGAAUAACAUUUCUCAAUAACCCUAAGAAUGAGUACAAUACCUUGCCACUGAAUUUCUUCUCCAGCUCUCUCACAAGGCGAGAAUGAAUCUUCCGAUAAGCCUUCCUCAAUCUGUAAGGCACAUAGACAACAAUUGCCUUGCGGUUUCCAGAAACAUCCAUUUGACUGCACAAUUAGAGAGAUUGUCUACAGGAUGUUAAAGAAAAGGCAUGUAAAAAGCAAGGAAAAAGAAAGAAGAAGAUGAAUCAAUACUAAACAUACAUGGCUUGAUUAAUGUAAAGAUCUUUCAAGUCACUUUUAAGCUCCUGGUUGGUAUUCUCCAAAUCAAACAGUGCCUGCAGUCAUAUCAAACAUCAUUAAUUAAGCAUUGUGGAAUACCAGAGAACUAAGAUCAAGUUAAUUAGAAGGCAGCACAAAAGAACCUGGGCAACUGUCUCCUCAAACUCAGUAGGUUCGGCAUCCUUGUCUUUUUGGAUUUUCUUCUUAGUCGUGAACAUCUUGACAGCUCUGUUUUGUAGAGUUAAGCAAGUUAGAAAUAAAAUGUGAGAAAGAAAAUAUCAGUUACUGGAGGGGGAUCACAGUAAAACUUGAUUAAACAAUAAGUCUCAAUGUUAUUUUAUAAAUAGCAACAACUCAACAAGUAGUAAUUUUGCACAAACAUCACAAAAGGGUAAUGCUAGGAGAAUAAAGCAUUAACUUAUAAAGCAAUACAUAAUCAAAGUUCAAUUUAUAAAGCUUACGUAUAUAGUGAACAACUGCUCACCAAUUUUCCCCUAAAUUAAGUUAAAAGCGAAAAAUAUUCAAAGGGAAAUUGCAAUGAAUUCAAAACAACCACCCAUUUGCCAAAUUUUCAAUGCAUGCCCUGAUUCAAAGAGAAUGACUUCCUAAUGAGCGACCAGAAGUCUUAACAUUAACCCAUUUUAACAACAACAGCUGACCACACCACCCAGCAGACGCAGCAUUAAACACCGUCCAAGAGACAGCAUUCCCUCAGCAAUAAGGAGGGAAGGAUUUAAAAAAAGAAAGCAUAAUUACCCAUUCAAUCGCCAGUAUUGUCAUCCUACACCAAUCUCCACAAUACAAACACUCAUUAAAACCUAAUUUAACUUGACAAUAAUACCACAUUCCUUUUCUCUCUGCAGUUUCCUCCAUGUUCUGAGAGACAAAAGCUACAACGCCAUAAUGCAAUAGCAAGAAACAAAGAAAUUCAAAGAGCCUAUCGAUACAUCACACUCGGUUACACAAAGAGCCAACUGACUAUUCUAAAUGAAAUAAAACUACAAGUAAACUGCGAAAGAAUAUGACUUUCGUAAGGUGCAUAAAACAUAGAGGAACAGCUUUCGUUUCAUGAUACAAGAGAGCACAAAGCCAGAUAACAAACACGUAAAAGAAGACAAAACAUUUGAUUCUAAAUUAGAGUAAUCAAGCAAAUCAAUAGAAUCUAAGCAUUCACAAAUAACACACACCCCAAAAAAAAAAAAAAAAGCAACUUUGUUCAUCAAUCAGAAUCAUGAGUUGCAUUAAAGAAAACUGAGAGAGUAUAUUAGGGUUUAAGGCUUACCGCAGCGAAGCUUUUAGAUCUGUAUGCACGAGUAGAAAAAAACACACAAGCUUGCUGCUGCUACUUAACAAAGAGAAGGGUUGGAAUGGGUAGAAGAGAAGGAUUUAAUAGGUGUCCAGAGACACGGUUAAAAAUUAACCUAAGUUGGACGGUCGAGAUUGAGAGGACAUGUUGACCUCUGGGCCUUGAUGUAAAAAAUCGAUUUUAUGGGUUUGUUUCAAUAUAGGCCCAAAUAAAGUUCAUUGAUUCAAUGCAUUUUGGGCUAAAAUAGAAGAAGCCCGUUUUUCACAAAUUAAUAUUAUCAUUAUCAAAAAUAUAAAUAAAUAACGUGGAAUACGGCGGAUGACAUUGGGGACUAUCGGAACUUUCCAUUUUAGUGGGCGACGUGGCAUGACCGAUAACUUGUUUAUUUUAAAAUUGGUAGACCCCAUGGCACUAAAAUAGACGAUUUCAUUUGAAUCCGCAAGGUCUGUCAAAAUGGCAAGUUUUAAUUGGUCACAUUCACAUAGUAGCCUUAAUCAUUUUCUUUUUGGUUGAUGAUUUUACAUUUUGGUUCCUUAUUCAUGAAUAAUGCCAAUUGUCACCAAUGCUAAGACUUUUUAUCAAAUUUUGGCCAAUUUCGCUAGUAUUGUUUCUAUCAUUGGAGCUUUCAAAUAACGUAUUAUUUGGCCAAUUUGGCACCAUUUACUCAAGUUCUGCCUACUCAGAAGAUCUCCCAUAUCAUUCUAACGUAUUUGAUUCAAGUAAUGUCCGGCUAGGCGCUGACUUUAAAUAAUUUUGAUUUUUUCUUCACUUGAAACGCAAAUUUAAAGAUCCGUUUAAAAAAAGACUGCUGUACGGCCAAGGCGGAUGUACGGUACAGCAGAAAAAAGGGGGGGGGGGGGGUGACACCAUUAUCUUUUGUAAUUUCGGAUGCAUGAUCACCAGUAAUAAUAAUUAUCCUGCUCAAGGUUGCCAAAAGAAUAUGAAGCAAAAAGAGGUUCCAUUUCCUCAAAGAUGUUAAAUUUUCUCGAGUUUGUUUACCAUAGAGCAAGUUGAUCGGCUCUAUCUUCUUAAACCAUCUAGCCAUGAUAGAAUAACACUUGCACCUUUCUCCCAGGAACAAUCUAACAUCAUGUCAUGAGCAACCCCUUCAACACAGACUGGCGACACACCAUAAAACGAGCCUGUUUCGCUGAGUCCUUGCGCAUCCUGCAAGAUGCAGUAGUCAUGAUACAGCCAGCUCAAUUUGAAAGAGAGAGUCAAUAAUUUGCUCAGAACUGUGUACCCUGAUAAAAUUACAAUGAUUUUGGAGAAAAAUGGCAGGGGAAAUUUACUUUAACACAUAACCGAAUUUGCUACAGGGUUAGAGAAAAGAAUCAAGUAGUCAACAAUGGAAGUGACAAUAAUUACCACUAUGAAGUCAUCUUUUGCACCCAAAACAAGAACUUUAAUAGAAGAUUUUGGCACUGAAGGAACUGGAAGUGAUGCAUUUAGCUUUCUCAAAUCAAACAGUGGCAUUCUUGAACUUUCCUUCAUUAGUUCCUGAUAACUGCAAGAAAGCAAGUUCAAAGAAGUAUCAUAUAGAGAAAGACAGAUCACAUAGCAUAGAGCAAAUUCAUUUCUUUCCAAAGAAAACUUAGUAUAGGGUAACACGUCAGUAGUUAACAACUAGGAAAAGCGUUUCUGAUUCUGAUUUUAUCCCCGUAGUGAUCAUCUUUUAAAUGCGAAUUCUUGUUAUAAAAUCAUACACUUGUCUGAGACCACAUUAUGAACAACAUGAAGAAUGCUUAAAAAUUAAAAAAGGAAGCUCGUGAACAAACCGUAGAACCAGAUGAUCCUCCAUCGAUGAAGAGAAAAAAGUUUCCUUACAAAGAGACAGAUCAGUCUGAAAAGCUUUAGCUGCCAAGCUGUGGGUCACCUGCUCACAGUUUUGGAUAAAUCUUACUUCAGUCAUAUUAAAUAUUUACUCUGAGCACAAAAGCAAGAAUACCGAAGAUAUUGAUGAAAAAGGAUUAAUAUCAAAUUUUCUCUGAUCAUCCAACAGUUUGAAAUCAAAGGAUAUAGGAAUAUGACCAUCUAGACACAAUAUAUGCCCAGUGAAAAAUACAACCAACAGACUCUUAAAGUCUAAACUGGGCAAUUGUUGAAUUCCAGAUCUUUAGUUGAAUUAUAGAAAGUAAUUGAUCAAGUGUUCGUUAUAAGUUUUACAAAAAUAGAUUCAGGAAAAAAAAUAACAAACAAAAAUUAUUUUUCUCAAAAUGUGACUGUAGAUACCUUAAAUGCAGCAAUAGGUUUGGUAAACAGAUACCGCCACACUAACCCACUGAACACAAGAAAAAAAGAAAAAUCUUAGUCUAAGCCAAUGUUACUUCAAUAACGUAGAGUCUGUGCAUAAUACAUUACAGUAGGGAAAAUCACCUAUUACCCGAAGGAGGUACAGAGCACACAAGUACCACUCCUGCUAACUCAGGAUAUGGAGUUUCCAUUUCUAAAAUAAAGCCAACCAUAAGAACAACAUCAGUACUAGCGAAAAGUAGUUGAAACCAAUUAGAACCACCAUUAUGAAUUAUAUAUCUGUGCAUUGCAGGGUUACAGAGUCUAACAUCAAAAGUAAUAAGAAGAAAUUAUAAGUUACACAUUUUAGAGGUUCUAAAUGUAUAAAAUUGUGUCCCGAAACCAGAAUUCAUAUGAGGUGAAAUGUAUUGUGCUGCAGUCAUGGCUUACAUCAACUCAAGAAUGCUACUCAUAGUCGACAAAAGAGGAACAUAAAAGCAAAAUUGACACACAUAAUGUUCUAAGAUCUCAGCUAUACAAAUGACGACUCUUAACUGUUUUCUAAGAUGUUUUUGGCUUGUAUAAUCUUCAAAAAUGCCUCAUUGACUUUGAAGGAAUUUAAAUCUACAAUGCAAUUCUUCAGCAACUGUGUACUCAAUUCUUAUGAUCAUGCCUGUUUCACUCUUGUUUUUAACCAACCAGAAGUAGACACUCACCUAACAUUUUUUCAUUUCUUAUCCUUGCAAUAUAAUACUGAAUUAUUAGCCCCCCAAAUGAGUGUCCAAGCAGGACUGGAGGCAAACUGAGGUUCUUCUGGAUAAAGUCAGCGACAUCACCUGCAUGUGUCUACUGCAGAAUUUAGGGAGAACAUAAAAUUAGAAAAUCACAUUUUUAUUUUAUGGAAAUCAUAGUAAAACAUUAAAUGAAAGAAGAAUAUCAUAAAAUUAGAUUGUCCAAGGGACUGCUUCUCAGUGACGAGCUAAAGUACCUGGAGAGAACCAGCAACAGUACCAGGGGGUGCAUCACUUUCACCCUGCACAAUUAAAGAAGGUGAAUGAAGUCAGCUUGAGAUCCACAAACAAAAAGACUAUCAAUACUUCCAACAGCUGAUAUACAUCAAAGAGAAGCACAACUAUGUCCCGAAUCCAUUACAAAUUAAACACAUUACACUAUAGACACUUUGCCAAGUAUCAAUAUAAGAACUCCUAAGGAGUUUCCAUGGCAAUAUGGUCCUGUUGGAAUCAAUGCAGAUUAAUAGAAAGGAAAUAAAAAGUAAAGAAUAGAGAUAAGCAAAGCUCUAUAGAGAGAGUAAAAUUAUGCAGAGAUUCAUCCACGUUAAUUUUCUUUAAGAUGCAGUAUAAAAUUUUCUUUCUGUAUUCGCUCAGUGUCUAUGCUAUGACGAUUUUAAAGUAAAGCCAAAAAAAAAAAAAAAACCUACUAAGUCAAGAACUAUACAAAUCAGAUAUUGCCACAAGAAUUCAAACCAAUUAAGCUUCAAGAUUGACAAAAAAAAAGAAAAAAGAGUAAAAUCACCAGAUGCAACAACAAAUUAACAGUGCAUGAAUAAAAUUCAGUACCAAUCAAGCUUAAAAUAAAAAUAAUAAAAAUAAUAAAAAUAAAGAGAGAGAAAAAGAAUGACCUGACCCAGCAAGCUGACAGCAUAGCAAUCGAACCCAGAAUCAGCAAAGAAACGCAACCAGUGUUCAGCCCAGCACCAAGCUGCAUGAUAACUCCCAUGAACAAAAACCAAAGGUGGCCUUUUUUCAUUUUUCUUAUCUGGGUCCUUGCUUGUCACACUCUUUUGCUCAACCACCUCGAUGUUCAAACCAGAAGGCAGCUGGUGAGAGACACGAGUCUGCCCUUGCUUCAGCUCGAAGGGUACCCGCAUUUUGUGAGCUUUGUUCAGGACAGCCAGGGGUUUCACUGUCAUUUUGUUCGGAAGGGUGGUGUGCAGAUAGAGAAGUGAAGCCAUUGCUGUGAAGUUAUGAGCUAAGCGAAAACUCGGCUUUGGUUUUACUUUUUAUCUCAUUUGGAUUUUAAGAUAGCAGAGUGGAAUGUUAUAACUUGAAAAUGAACGUUUAACUCUUCAACCAUAGUAGUUAGUAUAUUACUGCCCACUUUUUAAUUGGAUGGACUAGCCGAUAUAUAUAUAUAUAUAUAUUGAAUACAGACUAGCCGAUAUAUUGAAAUUGCACGAAAAAUAUUAAUUUUUUUAAUUAAAAAAAUUUAAAACAAUCACAAAAUUUAUGUUAUUUUAUCUCUCACGUAUUAUAUAUCAGUAAACAAUAAAUUUAUCAUUCAUAUAAAAAAAAUAAAAAUAAUUAAUAAGACGAAAAAAAUUGUUGAUGAAUGAUUUUAUUCUCAAUUUUAUUUUUUAACUUAAAUUCAUAAUUUUCGUAUUCUAUUUAAAUUUUUCGUUUUUUUUAAAUUAGAUCAUAUUAAAAAAAUUUGAGGAAAUUAAAUAUAUAAUUAUUGCUUUUAUUCGUAUGUUCCAUGACUUUCCAUCAUGUUGUGGAUAAUUGAAAUAUGUGCUUGGAAGAAAGGUAUUGAAAACCUUCAUCACUCUCCUCACACACGAUCCACGUGGAAUUUAUCAGCCAAUCUGAAGCGAGAAAUGAAUUACUAGAGAUGUUUGGGGUCAAAUAGAAGAAAAAUCAUUUUGAAAACUUGAUUUACUUUUUGAUGCACUCAUUACCCCGUGGCAAUUGGCAUCCGAUUAUGUUGGAGGCAAUGACAGCAAAUCAACAAACGUUUGGCUAUUUUGGUAAUUUUGGUAAAAGGCGGUUUUUGCGAGAGUUUUGAUAGUUGAAACAUUUGUAGAGUAUGAAAAUCAACCGUUUUACUUAGACAUUUUUUAACUAAAUAAAUUUAACCCAAAAGAUAUAUAAAAUUUAUUGAUGAUAUAAAAGCUUGAAAAAGAAAAGAUGGCACGAUAUAUGAAAUUUUAUUUUUUUAACUCAAAAUAAUGGAAUCAUAUUCAUGUGUCUUAAAAUAUUUGAGAAUUGAUUUAGUGAACGAAACGCGUGAAGAUCUUUGGUUAAAAGUUAUGAGCCCCACAAUAGAACUCCCUCAAACAAAGCUACCAUGCUCGCAAUCGCAUACUAAUCAAACUCCGUUAAUGGAUAUACAUGAAUUCUUAAAAUGAUUCCUAUAGAGGAAAAUUCAGCUUCAGAAAGUGAAAUUGCCACUUGGAACUUCAUGUGUGUUUUAAAUUAUUUUACUUCCUUAAUUAUAAAGGAAAACAAAUUGCACUCUUAUCCCCUCAUUAGCGUGACCAAGACAUCUAAGAGUUAACGGUACUCUAUAAAUUGCAGUUUCAGCCUAUCAAAUUUGAACCACCACUCAGCCCUCUGAGAAACUCUGUAUAUAGUUGCCACUUACAUGGCAGAUUUUCGAGAAAAUACGCAGAGUUUAAGGGCAAGUCAAGCGUUCACCGAGCUUGGUGUGAACAUGGAAAUGGUAAAGCAUUUUGCAGAGCUAAAGCCGAGCAUGUUAGAGUAUUUCAACACGCCAAACUUCUCAUUAGCAACCCCCUUGGCCCACCAGCAACCCGAGUUUCUUGCAGGCUGUUCUUAUAACAAUUCUUUUAGCAAUUUUCAAACAGAUAGCCGGAUUGUAGUACCCCGUGUUCGUACCGUAAGGGGGAAUGAAGAUGUCUUGUAUGAAAGCAGCAGAAGAGAAGUUACAGAACAAUCAACAAGUAUCUCCAAGACCAUGUGUUCUUCGGCUUCGACGAGUGAGACUCAGGGAGACACCUACAAGAAUAAAAAAAUUGUAUGCGUAAAUUGUUCCUCUUCGAAAUUUAUUUAUUUAACUGUCCCUGUGAGUCACUGCUUCAUUGGUAAUCUGAUAUAUGCAUUUUCAGAGAUCAAGAAGAGGGAAGAAAGUGAGUAGCAAUGAGAAGGAGGAGGGAAAUCCAGAGAGAAUUAUUCAUGUCAGAGCAAAAAGAGGCCAAGCUACUGACAGUCACAGCAUAGCAGAAAGGGUUUGUAUAUUUGCAAGUUUUAGCCCAUACAAGCAGUGAAUGAAUUGACUGUUACAAGGAACAUCAAUUGAAGAACUAAGCAAUAAUUCUUUUUGUUUUCCCUUAUUCUGGUCUGUGAAUCAGGUCAGAAGAGAAAAAAUCAAUAAGAAAAUGAGAUGCUUGCAGGACCUUGUCCCAGGAUGCCACAAGGUCGAUUUUAUAUUUUUUUAAAAUAACAGUGCAUGUUGGUUUAAAGUCAUGCAUUCCUGAUAAUAUGUGAAUAUAAUUAUCCUCAGCAUGAGUGGGUAAAUGUGCAGGAUAUGGGAAUGGCAGGGAUGUUGGAGGAGAUAAUCAAUUAUGUUCAUUCACUGCAGAAUCAAGUUGAAGUAAGUCGCAGACAUAUCCAAAGUCUAGUAUUAUUCAUCCCAAAAGCUGUCACACCAACAGUUUUGAACUAAUUUCUCUUUUUGUCCUCCUGAAUUCAGUUUCUUUCGAUGGAACUUGCGGCUGCGUGUUCCUCUAACGAUUUAAACAUCGAAACAGAAUCUAGCAGAAAGACACAGGUAUGCGUGUAUGGACUUGCAUUGCACGUACGUAUGUGUGCAUAUGCCCUGGCACAUAAUUACGUGCACAAUUGUACGCAUUUAUGGGUGAACAAAUGUAAAGUGAGUGAUGUAGAAUAUAUUUUAUGCGUCAGGGAACCAAUUCACAUGAGGCACUGGAGAUGGAGAUAUGGGCAAAAGAAGCAUAUGGAGAGUACACCAGCUUCCACUCAACAUGGUCCCUUUGACUCUACUUUUGGCUCUUAUUCCCUAUUUGAGACACAAGCACAUGUGCAUGCUUCAUACGCCUCUUCUGGCAAAUCAAAUCUGUGUUCAGUUAUGCUGCAAAUGUUCCAAAGAUAUGUGUAUUGCUUCAUGAAGGGUUGAGGACUAAAGUACAAAAGUUGGAAUCUUUCUUAUUUUUGUCCAAAUCCAGGAACUGAUUUUCCUUAAUAUGAUGACUCUACUGCGUAUGGUAUAUGAUUUUGUAGCAUCCUAUGUAUUGGUGUUGCCAUGUUCGGCAGAGCAGUUAAGCAGAAAAUGAUUCUGAUGUGACUUGGGUUCAAUGUAUUGCUUGUAUACUCAAUUUUAUGUGUUGGAAUUUAGCAUUUGGGUCACUUUGUGCAACUAUUAUGCCCAUUUAAUCAGACACUUGCAUGUGCUUCAUGGUUUCUUUGCGUGCAAGAUGUGAGAGAGACAGAACAAGAGAGUUUCCAAAUUGUUUUCAGAAUCCAUUGGUCACAAAUUCAAUCUCCAAAUUCAUCACAAACAUCUGUGAAAACCAAAACACUUGCUUCAAUAACUAAAAGACACAUGCACUUGCAGCUGUCCUAAAGCAAUCAAGCUUAGCCAGCAAUGAUAAUCUUUUUGUCUUCGGCUACCUAGUGUUUGUUCUUCUUUAGUGAAAAUAAUUUAUUGAUUCCAAAUAAUAUCCUCGGACAAUGAAAGUUCAUCAUAGCUGAGAAGUCAAAUUGAUAGGAGAAGCAUCACCAUCCAGUCUAUUGCUUCAAUACAAAGGAAUAGUGUCUUAAGUCUCAGCAAUAUCCAAAUUACUAGCAACAUUUCAAUUAUAUGUUCCUUUGUGCAUCAUCAGUCAAUUCCAUUCAACUAUAAAGAAGGUUGAAUUAUAACACCAAAAAAAAAAAAAAUGAUAAAUUGCAUAUGAACAAUCAAAGGAUUAGCUAAAAUGGGUUCCACAAACAUAUAGAUAAUAAAAUCCCAUAGAUGUUGCCAAUUCAUGUACUGAAUGAUUGAUUUAAACAAUGCAAUACAUAAUAUAUAUAUUCGGGGGGCAUCAAGGAAAAUAAAAUGGAGAUGCAUUGUAUCCUAAACCACAAGAUUGAGAGAGGACAACUAGCAUGGGCCAUAUCUUGUUCACAAGAGGAUGGAACAAUAUGGGUUCUCAAUUUUCCUGAAAGAAAAAAGACCUCAAUUAGUAAAGCUUCAACAAUCUAGAUAACUUUUCUUUUGACUCCUUUUUGACAUUUUUCACUUGCCUUUUGUGAGUGCAUGCACAGUGAGAAGAUGUUAAUAAUGAAUUAAUGAGCCCCUUUGCCGGCAACAUCUAAUAAAUUUAACUGAAGUUGGAUGGACAAGAACUUUUAUGAAGGCUAGCUUGAGGAUCUACAGUCCUAUGGAGCUAGCCAGCAUGUAAUAGCGCAUGUCCAACUUACAAGGAAAACACUUUUUUAUGCAAAAAAAAACUAUAUAUGCAAGAAAAUACUUGGAGAAAGCAACUGAAAAAAGUCCAAAUGAUUCAGUUUUUAAUAUAUUUAUAUCUUAAAUGCCCAUGUUAAAAACACAUUUGUCUCCCCCAUGUUCUCAUCCAAAGCUCAUUAUAACUUUCUGCUUCUUUCUUUGCUGUCAAAUUGCAAAUAAACAUUCAAUUGGACAAAAUAAAGUACCGAAAUUUGCUUCUGUUGAAGCUAGGGAUGUAUCCUGCUAACUUUACUUGAUUGGUCAAAGUUAAUAGUGAUUUCUUUUUUGCUUCAUCCGUUGAGAUGUAUAUCCAUUUCAGAGAUUUUUUAAAGAUCAUAAAUAUGGGAGGCAAAAACAAGAUAGAUAGAAACCGAUGAAGAUGUGUAGACCACCAAACGCUGCUUUGAAAAUAACUUCCAAUAUCAUUGUGUGCCUACAUGUGCUUGUACAGUCUUACAAUGUUAACCCCUUUGUUUGUCUACGUGUUUGCCUUGUCUUUCUUAUUUAAUGUUGUUGGCUCCUACGUAUUGCACAAAACUUUCCCAGGUGAGGUCGCUAUUGAAUUAUCUGGCUCAAGCCUAGUGCGUACACGAUAACAUGAAGUGCCUCUAAAGUUACCCCAUAUAUGUAUUAACGUGUGCUCUGAAAAUACAAAUUAAAAAUCAUCUGUUCUUAUAUUUUAAAUGAGAUGCUUUCAAAGUUUCAGGACGAUACUGUGGCUUGAUUUAAUCAUGCCGGCCCUGCGUCAGAUUUUGUAUAUACGUGUGAUCAAAGUUUGUCGAAUUGGCACUGGCUGAAGUGUUGAUUUGGGGGCUGAUUUAUCUGUAGGCUUGUAAUGCUGUUGCAGUGGUGGCCUCAAAUAUCUUGUGCAAUCUUAAUCAAAAUUGAAUUAAACAACACAUGGCCAGUUCUGAUAUAUCUUUCCCUAAUUUGUUCUUUUGCAUUGGUUUCUUUUUAAUAGCCUGAAAAAAAUAAUAAUAACAAAAACGUGCUCAUUGCGGCCCCACAAAAUGGCGUGGCCCUUUAUUGAAACGUUAAAAAUAAGUCGGCCUUAUUGGGCUUACAUCUACAAUGGGCCGAUUCUGUCCAAAUUUUAGUUGGUCCGGCCCGGUUCAAAUGGUCUAUGUUAUCUCCGUUACCUCUUUCUGAUUGCUUUAGAAGAUUCAACUCGGCUGGCUUUAACAAUUAACACUAAAGCAAACUGAAUUAUCAGCAUACACAAAUUUGAAGCUUAUUAAUUAAAUUAGUAAUUUUCUUUUUUAAUUUUUUUUGCUCUAGCUUGCAUUAUAUCGUCGUUGCGCGUAGUCUUCACCGGAAAUAUAUAUAUAUUUAAAAAAAAAAUGAUGUCUCCAAGGCCAAACUCUGACGAUCGAGGAUCUUCUAAUUUCAGGUAACAAAAAUAAAUCUCAAAUUCAGUUUUCCUUUUGCCGUUUUGUUCUUCAAUUGCUUGGGGCUUUUGCAAAACCCUAGCUCUCUGUUUGGUUUAAUCGCUAAGAAAUUUUUUGAAUUUAAUUUCACGCUUUAAUGUAGGUUCAUUAGAGGCUGAAUUAUAGUAUUUAGUUUCAGCUGACUAUGUACUCGAAUAAGCUCGUAAUCUUCGAGCUUAAAUGAAGAGAAAAAUGAAAAAACCAAAGUAAAAUCUCUAGUUCUAUGUUUUUCGUUUUCUGCCAAGAACUAUUGAAACAAAUUGAAAACAAAAAAUGAAUCAUUUUGUUUAGUAAUGUUGGCCUCAGUUGAGUGAAAUAUGCAAUGUUAGUUGACUGAUCCAGUGAUAUUGCAACAACUGUGAACCGCGGUUGAGCCAAAUACAUACCAAGAAUCUCAUGUGGAUUUGCGUAUCAGUACACUGUUGUACUGAAUUAUUCUCCGAAUGACUUCUUGUGUAUUGUUUUGGCGUUUGAGUUGUAAGUGUUAAUAAUAAAAAAAUCAUUUGUUUUAAUUUUAGGUAGUUCCACAUGUCAGUUGCAAGAACAGAAAUGAAAAAUUCUUAGCUUUUCAAUUUUCACUCCAUUGGUAUUUGCUUAUUUUUUCUCUAUUCUUUUUGGUGCUGGAUAUUCGUAGCAAGUAGCAACUUGUAAUGAUUUACUUUUCUAUGCACGUUUUCCACUAGGCAUACUCCAUUACAGAUACUUCAUAUAAUUGCAAGCUUUUUGAGGAUAUGGUCCGUUUACUCCAUGUAUCGCUAUUUGUCUCAAACGGGAGUUUCAGUAAUACUUUUUAUCUUCUGCUGUUUGGUACCCUCAUCCAUCCUAUUUUUGCUGCUGCAAAAGCCUUGGAAGGGCAGACCGCUCUUGAAUACGCAGGUCUGUUUUUAUUGCAAAAUGAGAGAUGUGGAUGAGAGAAAUUGAUGCUUAAUGAUCUUCUAUUAUAUGCCCCUUUGUCAAUAAUGUCACUUAUUUUUCAGAUGGUGCCUUCUGUCAUUAAUGGUGGCAUAACAGCUUUAUAUUUUAUCUUGUGGGGAAAGGGACUCAAAUCAUGUGGACCCGUUAGGUAGGUUAUCUGAUUCUUAAAGAGUGUUUGUUGAUUGUUAUUUAGUCUUUAUAUGUUUGAUUGUGUUUCAGUGAACCUCAAGGUAUUAUUUUAAGUUUUAUGCUGAGAUUGCAUGCUGAUAUUAGCCAGUCUGCUGGCUAGGGCAUGAUUGGCUUUAACUGAAGUUAAGGAUCUUAUGUUGUCUCUUCUGGAUGUCUUGAUGCUGGAUAAAGUGUUGUUCUGCUUUUAAUCGAACUCUUUAUUAGGGUAGUUGGUGGUUGAUUUUAACUUGCUGGCUCUUUAUUUGAGAAGUUAGUUUUGAUUAACAUUUGUUUUGGCCUCUAGAGCUUUAUUGGCAGAGUAUUCUGGUGCUGUUCUUGGAGUACUAUCUGCAGUAUUGUAUGGACGGAGGGGCCAUGUAUGGAAAAAGGUAAUUUUCUGAAAGAUGCUUCACUAUUCUAUUGACGAAUUUUGCUUAUAGUAUCGAUUCUUCUCAGUUAAAUGGCACUUUGGUGGAAACUUAAGCAUAGAUUUGUAAUCUUGCAAUUGUGGGCAACCUUAGCUGCAUCUUGUGCUUAAGGAAAAACCGAUAUCCUCACAAUGCCAAUAAAAAUUGAGUUCUGCCAAUGCUGGUUGAAAAUAGAAUCCAAUAAACUGAUAGCAGUUUCAACUUGACAGUGGAACUCAAAGAGUAUUUAACCAGAUAUAAAAUAUGAGUUCUUCCGUCAUAAUAAUUUAUUAUCACCUGGGAUGCUCAAACUGGAAAUUACUAAUUGGAAUGGUGUUUUCUCAUAUUUUACCAGGUAGGUGGGCUUAUUGCGAUUUUGGCAUCUUUCUACUUCUUAUCUCAAGGCUGGGCUACAGAAACUUCUUCUCCAUUCUAUAUCCUCUUUGAACCUGAAUUUUUAUAAGCUAAUAAAUGCUGAUAUAUAAGUGAUUUUCGUUUUUCUUUCUUUUAUUCUUUCUCCUUUACUUUUUAAUCUUGUUCCAAAUGUAUUGUGAUAAACUUAACCUGAAUAUACCUUUUAAAGAUAGUCUUGAUGCAGAGCUUCGGACUGAACAAGUACUGGGAAUGAAAGAAAUGGUAGUUCCCCUACUUGCUGGAAUCUUAUCAGCCUUGAGAAGAGUGAUUGCACGGCGUGUUUCACUCAAGGUGUUGACAUUUUUCUAUCUACAUUGAUCUUGUGCAUUUUUCAUUCAGCCCAUAUUCCAGUUAUUAGCCCUCCCCCUCAUGGCCUCACCUCCUCUUUAUUUUUCUAGCGGGUGAAAACUGAUAAAUAAUCCUAACAUCAAUUUGGCCAUUUCUGCUGUCAGAAUACACUCAAGAGACGACUUCAUGCUAUCACUAUUACUUCUGCAACAUGUUUUCUGUUUCCUGUAGCUAUGUGGGACUUGAUCAUCGUAAGUUUUGUUAUUAUAAUUCAGUCCUAAGAGUAACUCUAACAGACAUACUUGUUUGUGGAAUAAUAUACUCAUUUUAUAAUCUAUCAUGGGAUUUGGUUUGACGGAGAUUUUUUUUAUAUCUCUUUCUGUUUUUGACCACUUCAGGGGUCAAAAUCGAGUAGCAGUGUGGAUCUGCCAUUUUCUGCAUGGGCUUUUCUGAGCACUACUCUCUUUGGGAUUAUCUUGAUAUUCUAUGUUGACGCUAUGGCAGAGGAGAGGUACCUUCUACAUACAUGCAUCUCUGGCGUCCACAACUUACUGGUGUUUGAUUAGUUCACUCAUUAAUUAUUGAUACAACUAUUGUUUGUAGGUUACACAUGGUUUUUUCUUCUCCAAGGCAUUUAAUGGUAGCUGGAGGAUGCAUUAUUGUCAUGGAGAUGGUGUAUAAGAUGGACUUUUCUCUUAUAGGCUUUAUCAUUUGCUCCUUAAUAUUGGGUUUUGGUAUGCCUCCAAAUAAAAGUUUUUCUUUGUUUCCUUUGCCUUUAGUUUGUUGUGGGUUCCAUUUCUGUAUCUUUACAAUGAAUACACCAGGGACAGAAACUAUACAAGUCAUCUUUUAGUGCAAGGAAGUUGAAGGAAAAAAUGCAUGAAAAUUUAGAAUUAAAAUACACACACACCAUGCCUAGAUGCACUCUUAUCUGGCAUCUGAAUCCGACUCAAGGAUAUUUUAAGGAUACUUUUUGUGAUGAUCAUUAAUUUCUCUUGAACUUAUGUGUUCUAUGUUUGAUAGCUUAUGCUUUUUUUUUUUUUGCAUAAUCUUGUAGGGAUAUAUGAGGCCACUUCCUUGGACCAUGGCAGGAAAGACACUUUUCAAAAACCAGAUCUAUCAAACGGGAUGCUGGGGGAUGAACUUCAGAUGUCUUCACUUCCUACUUAGGAGUAAGGUGAACACAUCUGCCCUUUACUUCUUUUUCUUAUAUGAUCUUUUAAGAUCCACACACCUCUUUGCUUGAUCUAUGCUGCUGCGAUUCUCAACAUUUUAUAAAUUUGAAAGUUCUACCCUCUAUUGGGGGCUAUAUGAGGUUUAAUGAAUCCAUGGAAGCAACUUUUGGCCUUUUCAAGCAAGGGAGAGAUGGAUGGAGACCUAUCUCUUCCUCUAAGCCUUAAUUUUUGUUCCCCUUUUCUGGGUGAUGGUACUGACCGAUCUAGUUUAUCAAUGCACUUGCUGUUUCAGGAAUAUCAACAGCAUAUCCUGUUUUUGUUUGCCGCAUUUCUGGCAGAGAUUAGUUUUGUCGCCAAAACUUAUCGGGUCUCUAACACUGCUUGUUCAGGAUCUCACAGUCAAAUUCUUUGUUGGAGACAUAAUUGGGAUCUCCGAAGUAAAUGUUAAAAUGAUUGGAAACUUCAUAACAAAUUGUCAAUGGUUGGAAACCCUCGAUGUGGCCGAAUAGGAGACUUGUGAGGAAAUGAGACCGCAAAAUUCUCCUCUUUUUUGUUCAUAGUUUCUGUUUGACUAACCCGUGAAGGGAUCCCACAGACGAUUGAUUAUACCGUAUGAAAAAUUGACUCAACUGACGAAAUUUCUUGAAAUAGUGAACAUUUUAUAUAGUUUUGACUCGCUUGUGGUGUACUUGAUAGUUACUAUAAUUAGCGGAGUUAACUAAAGAAUAUUUGUUGACACUAAUCUAUAUUUCUCUUGAAGCAUAACAAAGUAUGUCUUGAAGCUUACAAUACAGAUUGUAAAUAUAUCAUUUUUUGCUACAGGUAUUACUUGAUGUAAGAAAAAAAAAACUAAAAUUUAACCUUAUAUAUCAUUCUUUCUAAUCUUAACGCUGACUUUCACUAUUUUUAUCGUCUAUUGCUUUAAUUAGAGUUAGACUACAACUCAAUAAAAAUUAGGUUAAAUCAAUAUCAUCAAAUUUUCAUUUUGCAUUCCUUCAAAUAUGAUACAAGCACAAAUUGUAAAACAAAAAAAAAUGGGAAAAAUUGAAUACAAUUAAGUUAAUUUGAUGAAACCUAAACUCUCUGAAGAUGUUGCCGGUGCUCUCAAAGACCAACACCUCCCAUAAACAGCUAUUAAGUUGUCAAAUCAAUAUUCAAGACCUAUUGUUGAUGAUGGUGGUGCUGGUGUAUCUAACAUUAGAAAGUUGCAUUAGAAAGUAGUAACUAGAGUCAAAUAUUAAAUGCUCAUUUGGGCCCCAAAUGGACCCGAUGUCCAAUUACAGAUAAAAAUUACAAAUAAAUGAAUUAAAAUAAAAUAUCUGAGAAAUACUUUAAAUAAUCGUAACAAAAAAACAAUUGUGCCCUGAUUUUAAAUAUAAAUUGUUUUUGUCGAUAAUUUUUUUUUCAAUCACUGCUACAUCUUACCAUUUUUGGGUUAAAAAUAUACAUUAAAAUUGAUGAGGUUUAACAAAAUUUGGAAAACGAAACAAAAAAAUAAAUAAAUUAUAUAUAUAUAUAACCUUCGUCUCCAUCAACUGUGACUCGCUAACACCCCCCAUUAAGCUAAAGGCCACUAAUUUCGUCACGAAUCCUUAAAUGCCCUUCUCUAUUACUCACAACGCCCACGUUCUGCUUCAACCAGUGAGAAAUACAAGUCCUUUAGUGUGCAGUCACACCAACUGUUUCAACAAAAAAGAACAAACCCAGAAUUGGAAUGGAUUGAAAUUCAUCAGACGCAAUAAGCUGUUAAAAGAUCUUUCUACUUGGGGCAUUGGCGGGCCUUGUAAUUACUUUGUCCAAGUUUUUGACCAAUCCCAACUUGUUUCUGCCAUCAGGUUCGUUUCUUGUCCUGUUUCAUGAAUCGUAAUAUCAGAAUCUUUCAUCUGUAUUCUUUAUGUGAUGCCCCGUGUAGCACGAUGCGUAAUGCACACCUUUUGUCUUUUAAUAAUUAGCUUGUAAGAACGUUUGAUUAAUUGAUACAUUUCCGAAAAUACGAUGUCAUUUUCUUCACAUUUUGAUUAACGAUGCAGGUAUUGUCACGAGCAUUCCGUCCGGUACGUUGUUAUUGGUAAAGGCUCAAAUUGUCUCUUUGAUGAUCUUGGUUUCGAUGGUUGUGUUAUCUUAAACCGAAUUGAGUUCUUAGAGAGGAAAGAAACAGGAAUAUACAGAGUGGGAAGUGGUUUCAGAUUUAAUAGUUUGGGGAUGCAAUGUUGCACCGAAGGAUUCACGGGUCUUGAGUUUGCUGCAGGAAUUCCCGGGACAGUGGGUGGAGCAGUUUACAUGAAUGCUGGAGCAAAUGGGCAGGUAAUACAAGAUGGUUCUUUUUUUCAAAUAUGUAGAUUAUUUGGAAUGUUCGGUGCAUCAGGCGGCUGAUUGAGUUGUUCCUUUUUUUCCGGUUUUCAAAGGAGACGGCUGGCGUCAUUGAUAGUGUCGAUAUUGUUACACUCGGAGGAAAGCUUCAGAGAGUUAGCAGAAAUGAUCUAAAGUUUGGCUAUCGCUCAUCAUCAUUUCAAGACAUGAAAGACUUGGCGGCCAUUGUUGCCGUCACAUUUCAACUGCAGGAGUCAACAUCAGCUAGGAGAAAGCAACGGGAGUAUUUGGACAGGUGAUUUGUGAAAGUGAUAAACCGUGCUUACUGAAAGAGAUGUUUUCUAUGUCAAUACCGUGCUUAUGAGGGUUGGUUUGAUAACAGGAGGAGGAUGACUCAACCUCUGGGAGAACGAACGGCUGGCUCAGUGUUUCGGAAUCCAUCUGAUAAAGAAGUUGCAGCAGCUGAGUUGAUUGAGAGAGCUGGUUUGAAAGGAUUUAGGGUUGGGGGAGCAAUGGUUUCGAACAUUCAUGCCAACUUCUUUGUCAAUACCGGUGGCUCAACUUCUAGAGACAUGCUCAAUCUCAUUGCUUUUGUCAAGGAAAAGGUUGAUCAGAAAUUCGGGGUACAACUUAAGGAAGAAGUUCAAUAUUUUCAUCCGCAAUGAAACCAUUUAAACCGAAACGGGGACAUACAAACUGACAGUGAAACAAUUGGUGUAAAUUAGCAAAUGUAAUUUUAAUUGAUAUUCCAUUUGAAUCAAAAGGUUUCAAUAUUUAAUUGAUGAAUCCAUCAUUAUGUUGUUUCUGCACGAGUUUUCGUUGUAAGCAAUGUCCAGUACUUCAAGAGCUUUUUGUCAGUGCUUUGGUGAUGACAUGAGUAAGGAUUCCAAUUGGACAAAAAAGAAGGCAGAGAGAGACUGAAUGACGGGUUUCAAUUUGAUUUUGGAGCCCAUCCUGGAAAACAUGGCUGGAUGGGUAACAAUAACAAAAGCAUCAGUAGUGCAAUAAUCACCCAAAAAAGACUCUGAGGUUUGUGUGUGAGAGAGUGAGAGAGAGAGAGAGAGAGGAAGGGAGAGAGAGACACCUUGCGGCAAAGAGAUCCACAGCUAACAAGUGAAUCCAAGCAGAAGCUAAAGUUAUCUCACUGGAGAACAUCUUUGCUAUGCCAGGUAGCUGCAAAUGUUACAAUAUUGUUAAUUAUGUCAAAUUGAAACAAUUGAUUUACCCCAACAAUCAUUAGAACUUUUAGUAUCUUGACUUGAUAUUGAAUUUGGGUCCAAUAAAAGAAAAAUAUAUGUAUACCUCUGGGAGCCAGUAUUUACUUGCAAACAUAAGUCGUAACGUAUCAGGUGUCCAGGAGAGAUAUAGUAGAUAUGCGUAUAGAACUCCAAGCACGACAUACGGUAUGCUACUUUCCAUAGAUUUCUUUGUCUGGAUUUUGAGACAGAAAAACCCAUCACAUUCAUCGCUCAACACUAAAAAUGUCUGAAAGGCUUCCAAGAUUUAAGUCAAUGAAAUUAAAAAACUUCAGCUGAAUACGGGGAAGCAACUAAUCAAUCAAGGGAUUUAUAAUUCAUUAGAACUGGGAAUCUUUUUUUUUUAAUCGUUUAUUAGAACUGGAAAUUGAUUAUUAAAUUUUGUACAUAAAAUGACAGUUGUCAAUUCAAGGGGAGGCAUGCAGGUUUAUAGAAGAAGCAGGCACAACCAUAUAAAACAAUCUCCAACAGCUAUAUUUUGAAUCCCAUGAAGCUAUCAGGAAACUCUUGGAAUAAAUGAAACAAUUAUGUCAUUUUUUGGUGACAUGAUAGGCAAUAUAAAUUUCCCAGUCAAGAAGUGAUUGGGAAAAAAACAAUGUGUAUGUGCUUAUAAGGAAUGAGAAAUGCACAGUUUAAUGGAAGUUCCCAGAUAAGCACCAAAAGCUUACCAGUUCAGCUUUAGGAGCAAAAACCAUGAGUGUGUAGAAUGGAAGCACACCUGCCGUACCCAAGGUGAACACAGUACUAACAAGCUGAGGGCCUGACAACCCUGAAAAAGUUGUACGGAAGAUAUUAUAAUAGGCAGUUAAUCCCUAAUAACACAGGCAUAUCUGCAGGGCAAAAGCAUUUAAUGCAGUUUAAUGGUGAACGGAAUAGUCUAUAUUAAUAGUGUGCUAAUGCUCCAAAGUUCUGCAAUGCAUGGUGCAGCUAGGACAGAGAGCACACGCACUAACAAAAGUUCUAUAAAAAUUUGUUUAAAGCAUCAAGAGGAAAGAAGUGACCAUUUGAGCAUAUACUCAGAAUAACAAUCAAACUUACACUUGAUUCCAUAAUGCCAACCAAGUUUGUUAUUGCCUAGCGGCCUUUGGGAGUGGAUGUUAGUAUACUGUAAUCUUUGAUGAAACCAAAACAAGCAACUAAGAAAGGCAUUGAUCUCUGAGCAGCACCAAGUUGUGAAAUUUUUAGCCGAAAUCAAUAUUUUAAACUACAAAAUACUUUCUCCAGUUGUUAACAGUAUUGCAGCCAUUUCACAAUUUUAAAGACUUGAUGCAUAAACUAGUGAACAAACAUCAUUUCCCUCGAACAGAGGAAAAACUGGAAAAGUCAGUAAUAUUAAGAUAUCCUAUCUUCUUGAAACUCUGAUGAAAAAAAAAAAACGAAUAAAAUAGGAAGCCAUCAAUAAUAAUGAAACAAAUAGUAAACAAGAUUACAUGAAGCGUGAAUGUGGAAGCCUUUUUGAUGACGAAUGAAUUUUGUAACCUGUGGCCUUAUAAUAACUCUUGAUCCUCCAAGAAAACUCCAUUCACUUUGCAAGUCAGUUCCAACUCCUGUAAUUUGCCGUCCAAAAGUUUCAGCAUUCAUGCUUCUGGGAGCAGAGGUUAAUCUUUGAUCCACGCCAACAUUACCCCAAGUUCCUAUAGGCUGCUACAAACAGUCAAUCUAUAAGCAACAAAACUUAAACCCAAAGAGAAACCCUCAAGCUUGCACAAUAAACAGAAAACUGUUUACUUAAUUUAUAUCAUUAUAUUCAUCCUUCAAGCUCAUUAGCAUUCGAUAAACUUCAUGAUGACUCCUCAAGGGAAAUCUAGAAAUCCAAUUUUGAUAAUGUACGACCAUUAAACCAAACAAUUGGCUGAUUAAUUGGAAACGGGUAAACAUUAAUCACAGAUCUCAGUAGAAAUUUAACUAAAAAUAAAAAUGUGUAGAUAAAGUCACUGAAAAACGAAACUUCCUCCAGAAAACAACACAUCCAAUAGUAAUUUCUCCUAAAAUUCCAAUAAAACCCAGAAAAAGAAAACAAUUAACACGGCAAAACCAUAGCUUAAACAGCAAAAACAAGAAAGAAACUUACCUUAUCCUUGAGUGGCAACACUAGAGGGUGGCAUAAGCAAGAAGAGAUGGCCAUGCUAUGAGCAAAAAUGAAAAUCCCAGCAACAACCAUAAUGGCUUCUUCUUCAUCCGUUUAUAAAAGCACUCACUAUGUGUACGCUAAAAAGAACAAUUAAAAAAGAAAAUGGAGCAUCCGAAAAAUGCUGAAGUGGUGAUGUGGGACUUUCUUUCCACUUAAGAUGAAACAGAGUGCAGACACGCCGUUACAAAGCCACGAGCGGAAUUGAAGGAGACGUCACUACAUUCACUCAUUCAUCUAUUAUUAGAAUUGUUGUGUUGCGUUACACACUCACUGAGCACCGAAAGUGUGGAGGCAAAAGCGUAGCUGAGACAGACACCGUUUGCUCUUGUCAUAGUCCCACUUUUCAUUUGGAAUCUUUUAAUGUCCUACACGUGGCCUCACAUGGUUGGCUUUAGUUUGUUUCCACGGUAGUUAUUGAUCCACUUCUGUGUGCCUUUAGGUUAGGGGUCUGGUUUGGUCAACGUUUAAUUUGAAGAAUAUUAUUCUAAACAGACAUGAGUUACUGAAUUAUGAGUAUGUUCAUGCUGUGUAUCGCAACAGAAAAUAUAUUGGGAAAUUUAGAGAAACACCCGAUUAAAAUAAAUAAAAAUCCGCCCCAUCUUUUAUUUCAUCUCCUUAUCUUUCGGAAUUGAAAGGAAGUUGACACAGCCUCUAUACAGACGAAGGCCCUUCCUCUAAAGGAAUGUAACGUCGACCAAGUGUGCCAUGAUAAUGUGAAUUGCUGAAUACAAUGUUUCAAUCUAAUGCACCGGACAGUUCUGUACAUUCAAUACCAGUCUUAUUUCCUAUUUAACAACAAUCAAGCUCCUCAUUUUUAUUAACUCCAGCGAGUGAUCAAUCAACUGUCAGUACUACUUCUGCUGUGAUCAUCGAGCCAUGAAAUGAUAUCAGCAAAUACUCGAAUUAUCAUGUCAUCAGGCUCGCCCUCCAGAAGUGAAUGAAAAGCAUCCUUGUAAAGAAUGCACUUCUUGUCCUUACUGCUCGCUUUCUCAUACAAGGCUUUGCUCACCGAUGGGUCAGUUACAGUAUCAUUCUCCCCAUGCAAGAUUAGCAGUGGCAGAGAAACCUGUCGCAAUACCAGAAUUAGUUAUAUCCGAUGCAAGAUUUACACACCAAUGAUGUAUGAGAAUGUUCUAUAUCAACCAAAACACUUCUGUUAAACGAAAGUUUCAUUCUUAUUUGAGAUUCUUGUACACAUAAAGAUUUAAAAUCAACUUGAAUUUGCAAUGCCACAUACCUUAUCCGGUAAAUAGCUCGUUUUCUCUAUCCAGUAAAUGUCUAGCACAAUAAUAUUCUCAUCUUGGUUUUCUUAGUUAUUCAAAUUGAGUUCAAGCCUGUUCAUGAACUUUAUGAAACAUGUUCAAUAAUGGGAUAACACCUGCAUCCCUACAUUACGAAAUGGAUUUCUUAGUAUUUAAUUUUCUACUUUCUUCAAGUUCAUGUUACAACCUUUUUUUAAGUUAUCAACUAUGCAAUUUCUGAGAGCCAUCACUAAUUCAACAAUUUAAAUCAAAAGUUCCUACUAGACAAGCCCCUCUGAGUCAACUGACAAUAGCCUUUAUGCGGGCAGAGAGAAAGGUCAUGAAAAAUCUCAGAACAUAUGCCUCAAACUGGUUAAAGAGCAUGAAAACAUAAUUUUCUUGCCUUUUCCAACUGAUAUACUAAACAUGAUCGGAUGCAAGAUAAGUUUCCUCAAAAAAAAAAAGGACAAAAAAUCAUAGGCACAGAUGAUAUCAAAAUUCAAUAUUAAAAAUUAUUGUCAUGCCUUUUCCAACCGACGUUCUAUCCCUUCAGUGGUUUUGAGCAGCUCUAGAGCAGUCCGCAAGCGUGGUUUAUCCUUGUAAACAAUGACAUUAUACUUAGUCUGCAUUCAACAGGAAAAAUGAGAGUAUUUAGAAUCAACAAGUGGAUGGCAGAAUGAAUAAAGAACUUAAUCAAAUGCAGGGGAGGGGGGGAAGCUACUACCAUAUGAUAUCACAAUCCUACAUGGCUCCAUUAUAUUAUUUGCUAUAAAGCCACAAUUAUUAUAAAUGCUUUGCUUUAAUUUUAGUCAUUGAAAAGAUCUAAGAAAUAUCCAUUCCCCCCNNNNNNNNNNNNNNNNNNNNNNNNNNNNNNNNNNNNNNNNNNNNNNNNNNNNNNNNNNNNNNNNNNNNNNNNCACCCCAAAAAAAAAAGAGAGAGGAAAAAAAAAAAGGAACAAACCAGUUCUCGAUUCUUCAAAUCUCUAAAUGCAGCCUCAGCCAAAUCCUUUUGAGGAACCAACUUAUGCUUUGGAAGAAUAUUAGCUAUGCCAAUCAGGAUUUGUUUUACUAAAAAUGGGGGCACCAUGUCAUCUGCAAUCUAUGCAAAAUUUUGAGUUAAUAGAAGGGAGGUAUGUCAGAUUCUAAGACAGUUUAUAAUAUAAUCAGGUUGAAGAAAAUACUUUGCACAUAGGUGCAACAAGAAUAGCACCGCUCCAUGCAUUAGGCUGUUUAAGGUGCACCUUCACUGCUACAGCUCCACCAAGAGACUGACCAAAGAGGAAGCUCGGCAAAGUACGAAACUCAGGGUACUCUGCCAUGUGAAUCAACCAAAACAUAAACAUCAAGAACAGACAAGUAUCUUGAUCAUAAUCUGUUAACCAAAUGUAAGAUGUUUGUUAUGUGUACUAUAAUAAUUGCCCUUAAACAGAUCAUUUCAAUAUACUUUGCAUUGUCUCAAACGAUGACAAAAUCAACAAACCAGAGAAAGUUUUCUUCAAAGUAAACAAAACAAAGAAUUCGUAAAUGAAGACAACAGAUUGACAUGGAAAGGGAAAUGUUAAAAUCAUCAAACCUAAACCUACACUCAAAACAAAAUUUAAUUCUAUCGCCAUUGAGGGUUUCAAGGAUUCCAAGAUAAGGCUCUAAAACAACUUGGCACACCUUUGAUGUUGGAAUAAUGCUCGAUGACAUCAUCAACCAGCCGGUCAAAGCUGGGAAUGUAGCCAUGAAGACCUGCUGAAAGGCCAAAUCCAGGGUAAUCCAUAGCGAAAACUCCGUAUCCAGAUGAUGCCAACUUCCUUGCAGUUCCUGAUAAAAUGCCACCAUGUAAGGCUCAAUUACCGCACCAUGCCUAAGGCUAUAAACAGUUAACUGCUACUUAAUGCUAAGAGCUACAUGCCUUCAAAGAAAAAUGUGCAAGUGUCUCCAUAACCAUGACAAUAGCACACCAGUCCUUUGGGUUGAGAGGUCUCCGGAAGCCAACUUUUACAGAAAAUUUCCACUCCUCUGGAAUUCACCUCAUACGACUGCAAAACAGCAAACAAUGUGACCUUCUUCAGUUAAAAGCAAAUUACAGCAAUGUCAAAACACAAAAACAGCAGGACACAAUGCUUUUUUAUACUUUAGCCAGCAUCACCGAUCACAGCUUGGGCCCAAUUCCACUUUUUUGGGUAGAAAGACUCCCUUUCGUACGAAAUGUAAACAGAAAGUAAUAAAAGCUGAAGUUUUGACUUCUUACCUCCUCCGUUUUCAAUCCAUCACAAGUGGCCUGCAAAAUAGCCAAAAAUAAAAUAAUCAAACUAUAAACUUCAUUCAAAGAUAUAUCCAUCAUCCUUCUAAAGUACAACACUUCAUCAGCACCAUUGAACACAACUGAUUCAGCAACAAUCAACGGACCAAAUUAUUUCCUUUACCAACUUUUCAUUUACCACAAACAAAUCCCACUUAACAUCAUCAACUUCCAAUAACAAAACAAUAUAAAAAUAAAUAAAUAAAUAAGUCAAAUUAAAAAAACGAAUGCCAAUAAGCGAAAAACAUGAAAAAGAAUGCAAAGAAUAGAACCACCUUCAAUAAAAUAUGAUCAAUAUUAAGCUGGAUAUCCUUAAACGCCUCACGUGCCCGGCGCCUAUUGGGAGCCUCAUCCAUGUUAGCGUCCAAAAUCUCGCUCAACUCAUCGCUUAUUCCUGGAAACUUCAGCUUUGCUGCGGCCAUUAUCCUUCUUUUUCCUCUGAACCCAAUUAACCCCGCACCCAAACUCUUGGCCCUCGUACUCAAUCAACUUCACGUUAUUGUUAAAAUAACAAAGAAAACAAAGGUGAAUGCUUUCUUGGGUUUUUGCUUUAAAUACCACGUAAAGGGUGCAGUCACAGCUGACCUUAAAGCCAAAUUUGGAAAGUAUAUUAAUUAUAUUUUUUUUUUUAAAAAAAAAAAAAGGAGAAAAAUAUGAACGUAUCAUGAAUGGUGUUUGUUUUUGUGGACCGGGAAAGUGGCCAAAACUUAUAGACGAGGUCUGACUUUUAUUAUUUUCUUUGUUAUCUUUUUCUUUUUCCUUUUUUUAUUGGGUCGUUGAAGAUGCCGUUUGAGUGGGAGAUGCCUGCUUUCAAAGUUCAAACUUUUAUUUGCAGUUUCUAGAUUUCGUUUUAAUUAACAUUUGGGUCCCUUAAUUUUGAUAAAAUCAUAGAAUAAAAAUAUAGUUUGAAGCUUUCUUCGCAUGGAUCUUCAAUGUGACGCCAAGUUAAAAUUAGAAUACAAAUUUUAUAUCUAAUUAAAUUUACGUGGCAUGGUUAAAUGUCAUUUAUUAAUCAUUAAUAAAUAGUAUUAUUAUCACAAUAAUAAUCAACUAAUAGUCAAUAUGCAAUUGAUAAAACUAUAAUUAUAAUUUAAUCAAUAUAUACCUAUCAUUGUUGACUUGUUGUCUUUCUUUUGAAAUAAAUACUAUUAUUUUUUUAUUUAAAAAAAUUAAUUUAGGGUGGCCGUGGAAUGUGAAUGUGAUGUCCCUUCAUCCUCAAUGCCCGACUUAUUAGAAUUUAGAACAUAGCAGCGCUGCAUUGUGUCAUUUAGGACCUGUGUGAAAGAAUUAUGAAUUAUGUCGUUAUGUACGCUUUUGUCAAAGAAAUUAGUGAGCCAAAUGUUAUUUCUCUAUUUAAUAACUGUUUUGCAUUUUCGUUUUGUUUUAUUUGUUAAUUAGGCGGCGGUUGAACACGAAACUCGUUUUGGACCCCCUUCGAAGCCUCGGUUGACGUGGUUGGUGACUAUGAGGGAGCGCGGCCUUCCCGUGACGGGCAGUCGUCUUGGUGCGUGGGACCGCUGCUCUACUUGCGACACGUGGCCCACAGCGAAUGCGAAACUGUGUAUAUAAUAUAAUUUUCACUAAUCACUUGCAUAGUAUACGACCGUGUCAAGCUCCCAUUAGGGGCUGGGGUCUGCAUUUAAUAGGAACUUGAUACACUUGAUCACACUCCAUUUUUUAAUAUAAUUAAUCUUAUCUUCUAACAUACGAAAAUUUAUAUUCUUUUUAUUUUUUAACUUGUCUUAGAAUUCUUCCAAUAACAUAUUCUAGUAUAAUAUAUUUUAUUUUUUAAUAUAUUAAAAUUUAUAAUUUUUUUAUUUUGUAACUUAUUUCUUAUCUAAUAAAAGAUGCUUAAGUUAUUAAAAAAAUAGAUGAACUAAAAAUUAAAAAAAAAGUAAAAUAUACAUUUCAAUACAAUAUAUUUUAUUCUGUAGUGUAUUAGAAUAUAUAUUUUUCUUAUUUUAUAAUAUAUUCCUUACUUUAAUAAUUUAAGGGUAUGACUAUUUGAGUCCAUUAAAUUUCUUUUUAUAACUAUCAUAAAAAGUAAAUAUUUUUAAAAUUUUAAUAUUCUAAAAUUUCAAAAUUUCCCAUUAAGCUAUUUUCUUAUCAAUUUCACUGUGCAUAUGUUCUCUCUCUACCAUCACUUCUUAUAAAUUAAUCUCUCACUUCACUCUUUUUUGGCUAUGAAUUAUUUUGCUUCUUUAUUUCGACUGCAUCGCCUUUUGUCAUUUGAAUUGGGAAAUUUGUUGAUUAUAUUUUUAAAUUGGUAGUAAGAUUUACAGCUUUAGCCAGUUUCUGUAACAAACGGUUCUAUUCAAAGAGGUUGGUACGAAUAAGGAAUCUUUCUCCCUCUUGGAAUCUCGUUGACAAGAUGGCAAAGGGUACACUUCUUGUGAAAUCAAAAAUGAAAUAAGAUUUGGGAAUGUGUUAGGAACAUAAUGAAUUCAAAGCCAGAAAAAUAAAAAAAUUAUUGUGUUUCAUGGUUAAUUAAAAAUGUUGAUACUAAUUUUGGAUGGUGGUUUGUUCCUUUAAAUUCGCGGUAGUCCAUAGCUAAAUUGAUUUUGAUUAUUUGCAACAGACAAACAAUAGCAUUCAUUUGUAGUUGAACUCUAAAAGAAAAAAAAAAUUGAAGGAAUUGGUUUGAGCUAAAGAUUUGGGAGAGAAAAUAUACGACUAAUUAGGUAAAAUUUUCAAAUUUAUUUUUACAAUAAGUAUUUUAAUUGAAAAAAAGGUGUAAAGAGUUAAUCUAUGAUUUAAGGACGUGUCUGCGUUAAAAAAAUGAGGGUGCCCGAAUAUCUAUAUGUGUGUGUAAUUAUGACUGUGCUAAAAUAAUAAAUACUCGAAGUCGGAAAUUAAUUGAUCCAUUUUAAUAACAAUAGUGAUAAGAUUCUAAUAUUUGAGUCUUAAUUUAAAUUCUAAUAUUAUGUGUUACUUAUUUAUUAGAAUAUAGAUUAAAAUUAUUUACUCACCAUCUAAUGAAUGAAUACCACAUUAGUUUUGAUUCAAAUUUAUGACUUAAAUACUAUGAUACCUAAUAUUACUCUUUUAAUACCAAGAAAAUUAGCUUCAGCUAUCCCCACAUCACCAUGGAAAUGAGUCCGAACUCUAAACCAAACAAAUUACCAAUUUCGUUAGAAAUUAAAUCAAUCCAAAUCUAAUUCGAUUGGAACGAAUGGAUAUUAUUUGCCUAAAUGUGAAAUUGCGACUUUUCUCCUACCCUUUAAGCCAUGUCAUUUUCUUUCAUUCUAGUACAUGACAUGCGCUUCAAUGGAAGAUUUGUUCAUGAUUGGACGCGUUCGCUAUGAUAAUUAAUUAGGGAUGGCAAUGGGGAGGGGAGGGGAGGGGACCAAUCUCCCCAUACCCAUCCCCGAUAUUUUGCAUAUGUCCCCGUCCCCGUCAAAAUUGCUUGAGAGAAUCUCCAUCCUCUCCCCGAAUAAUAACAGGGGAUCCCCGAGGGUCCCCGGUCCCCGAAUAAUUAAUAGUCUAAUAUAUUUUUUAUUUUCGAUUUUAAAUUAAUCAUAUUAAAAUAAACUCAUACCGCUAUUGUAAGCUCGUAACCAACUUUGACAGCACAUUAAGGCCUCCAAUGUGCUUGGAUGAAGUUUGUUACGGUGUGAGCUCACAACUCUACCACCGGUGCUAAAAGCUGAUUCAGAAGCAACUGUUGUAAUUGGAAUUGCCAAAAUAUCUCUAGCAAUUCGAGCUAAUGUAGGAUACGAAUUAGGAUUAGAACUGUUGUAAAUUAUAAUUAGGCAGCUCUCUCCUGUAUCAUUGUGGUUUGGAUUAAAAAUUUAAGACUUUAAUUAGUUAAUUAAGUUUAAAAGUUUAAUAAUAUAACUAUUUUAAUAUUUAUUAUUUUUAACAAUAUUUAUAAUUUUGUUAUUUAUUUAUUAGUAAUUUUAAAAAUAAAAAUAAAAUUAAAAAUUAAAAUGGGGAAAUGGGUAGGGGAUGGGGAUUCCACCUCAUCCCCGUCCCCUCCCUGAAUAAAAAGUUGGGUAAAAAAUUUUUCCCGUCCCCUCCCUGAAAAAAAAAUUGGGUAUAAAAUUAUCCCCGUACCCUCCCCGAAUGGGAAAAAUCCCUGAGGGUACCCAUCCCCGUGGGGAUUUUUGCCAUCCCUAUAAUUAAUUGCAUUUAUUAACAGUGCUUAUAUCGUUAUUAGUUCAAUUUAAUUUGACAUGAAAUUUGACGUAUAUGGAUGGAGAUAGAUAAGCCCUCACGAAAUAAAUUUAUGAGUCACAUCCAUAUAUUUUUUAUGAGAAUACAUUAAUAGUAUGUUUAUUGAUCAAUAAAUGAGAAUGGAUUAGAAUUGGAAUGAACUAAAAUUAUAAUGAGAUAAUAUUAUAAUAGAAAAUAAAAAUUAGAAUAGAUUAUUUAUUUUAACUAUUAAAAUUGAAAUCGAAAUGAGUUGUAUUAUCAUUAAUGUGUUUACUUUAUUUUACAAUUUGAAUGAAUUAUUAUAAUUUAAUAAAAUACCUUUAAUUUAUUAUUACCAUUAUUUUUAUUAUUAUUAUUAUUAUUUUAUUAUUAUUAUUAAGAAAAUUAUUGUUAAUAAUAACAAUAGUUGUUGUUACUGCUGUUGUUGUUAUUAUUAUUUUCUCCCUCUUUUGUUUAUUUUCUUUUUCUCCUCUUCUUUUUCUCUUUUUUCUUUUUAUCUCUCUUUUUGUAAAUUCUUCGUUACUUCUUCUCUUUCUUCUUUCGUUUUAAAUUUUUAUUUUUCUAUUCUACAUCGUUUCUUCUUCUUCUUCUUCUUCUUCUUCUUCUUCUUCUUCGCUGUCUAUUAUUUGUCUUCAAUCUCUUUUUUCUUUUUUUCUUUUUCUCUUUUUCAUUACCUAUUCUUCUUCGUUUCUUUUUUUUUUUAAUUUAUUUUCUCUUCUUUAUUGUUUCUUCUUCUUCUUCUCCAUCUAUUCUUCAUCUUCAAAUUAAACCGAUGGUGCCACGCGAUGAAUGACGACGUGAUUCCAACGUGCUGUGCUACGAGAUUUGGGUUUGGUUGCUGUGAGAUUUAGGAUUCGAUUGCUUGCUGUGAUUUUCAUUUUGAUUUUUUUGAUUUUUGAUUUUUUUAUUAUUUAAAGGGUAAAAUUUUAUUUAAUCUCUAUAUUUUGAGGUUAGUACCCGUUCAGUCCCUAUAUUUUUAAAAAUAACUCAAAACAUCCCGAUAUUAAAUUAUUAGCACAUUUCCUCUUACUUUUUAUUGCUUUUGGCUUAAUUUUUAUAAUAUUACCCUCUUAUAAUUUUUUUUUGGACAUUAGUAAAAAGAAAAAAAAUUAAUUAUCAAUUUAAUCUUAAAAAAUAAAAUAGAAUCAAAAUUAAUAUAUGUUGCUAUUUUGAAACACACUGAGGAAUUAAUAUAUUAAUUUUUUUAUUAUUAAUGUCCAAAAAAAUAGGUAAUUUAAUUAUUUUACAAUAAAUUUUUUUUUGACACACGUAAACUUUCACAAAAUUUAAUAUAUAUUCUUUUUGUUUUUAUUUUAUUUUUGGGGUUAAAUUGAUAAUUUAAUUUUUUUAUUAAUUUUAUAAAAAGAAAUAUUAUUGUAAGAGGGUAAUAUUAUAAAAGCAAGUCAAAAUAAAUAAAAAGUAACCGCAAGGAUGUCAAUAAUUUAAGGGUGGAGAUGUUUUGAGACAUUUUAAAAAAUAUGGAGACUAAAUUGACACUAAUAUUAAAAUAUAGGGAUGCAAUAAGCUUUUACCCUUAUUUAAAAAAAUGAGAAAGUUAUAAUAAUGUAAUUGAAGAGGGGGUAUUUUAAGAAAUUCUAGACAUGAGAGUCUGAUUCUCAAGCUGACUUAGAAAUCAAACUCCAUAAUGAUUAUUAACUUGGUGUGGGCUCUACGAAAAUGAAUCUUAUUCCUUCCCUCAUUCAUCAAAUAAAUGUUGGUUUCAUUCUGAUUCGAAAUUCCCAUUAUUGAAUUUGGAAAAUAAACUCACCAUAAAAUGAAUAUAUACAAUGUGUGGUUUAAUUCUCUAAAAAGUUUCCACUUUGACAUAAGGCGGAUCAUAAUUGAAAAAAAAUAAUAAUAAGCCAAGAGAGAUAACACAUUUUCCUUCUAUCAUCCUCUUCAAAUGCUUUAAGCCAAGAUCAAAUAUAAAGUUUUUAUGUAACUUUAUAUUUAGGUUAUUGUGAAAACAAAUAAUAAUUGUAAUGGAUUGUGCUUAUGCAUAGUUGUUUAUUUGUAUAAAACUUAGGUCUUAUUUUAUAGAGAAAAAAAAAUUAUAUUCUCCUGCUAAUAUGUCAAAAGUUUACUUACAACCAAUCUUAAAUGGGUUGUUGUAAACUCGUGGGUAAAAUGAUGAAUAUACAUUUCUCUCUAUAAAAGUAUUCCUCCGAUUUUAUAGAUAAAAUUUAUUGCAGUUUUGUUUUUGAACAUAAUUUUGUAAGAAAAAGAAAUUGUUUAACAAAAUCUCGCAAUAGCUGACUAUCAUUUAUAUGUUAAAUAUAUAAGUUCGAAGUAACUCUUAAACUAAUUUUUUUAGUGUAAACUAGGCUCAUAGCCUUAAGGUCUUUAGGUUUAAAAAUGAAUAAGGAAAUUAUGCAGGGAUUUCUAUUGAAGUUUAGUCAUUUUACUACUGUGGCACAUACUCUUUACAAAAACUUAUUCUAAACUCCUUAAAUUUGUAAAAUUUCGCUAUAGUUAUGUUGAACUAAAUCAUGAGUCCACCAGUCAUGAUCUCCCAUGUAAUUUUAUGCAUGAGGUAGGAAGUCAUCGUAAAGAGGAUAGCUAGUCCACAAACAUAAUAAAACCACUCAAUAUGUUAAACUAUAUAUAGAUAUUUUUGGAGAAUUCCACGCGUUUAACGGGAUACCGAGAUCUAGUUUACUAUUAAAAUUGAACAGCUAAAUUUUAAAAAUUUCAACAUUUAACUAUUUGAUAAAUACUAUAUGGUACGAUUUAAAAAUUGAUUUAAUUUGAUCAUACACUUAUAUAAUGAAAACUUAUUAUAUUUUUAAAAAAAUCAUUAUUUAAAAAUUAUAUUUAUAGCAUCUUAUCAAAUUUUAUUUAAAAUUUAACAUUAUUGUUCGCUUGUGGUAGAAGUGUGGUUGCUUCUCUUUACGAAGAGCCCUUUAAUUUCCAUAAUGAGUUUUUUAAUAGGUUAGGGCAGCAGGAUCACGUCCCCACGAUGGAUUUGUUUGGUGUAGGUGAUCAGUUCUAAUUAAUUAAUACUUAAAAGAUAAUUUAAUAUUAUAAUUUUAAGUUUUUGUUUCAUUAUUAAUAUAUAAAUUAGAGAUUUAACAUUUUUUAAUUUUUAAAUUUAAAUUUAUUAUUUAAAUUUAUAAUUUUUUUUUUUUUUAAAAAAAAGAGGGAGUGAGUCUAGUUUGGGCUUUUUUCCUAAAUCUUUAUACAGACUCUCAUGUGGAAGGCUUGAGUCAAAGUCCUUGCCAAUGGGCCGGACCGCCCGGACUUUUUUGCGAAUUGGUCCUUGAGUAAUGAUGGGUCUUCAUUGCGAAAGGCGGGUGGUGGACAUACGUCCGUCAGCUAGUCAAACAUUGCGUUGAGCCAUUUAUCAGGGGACGUGUCAAUGUGACAUUGGUCUGUUUGUGGGUCCACAAUUUAUCAUCUUACGCUUACCUCACAUACGGGCCGGGCUUACCAGACUGAGCUUUGUCUAUUGGACUAGGUUGGCCUUGAUUUAUGGGCUAAAUUGCUCGCGUAAAUUAAUGAUCUUAUCCUACUACCUUGGACUAGGCUUUACUAACGUUCCCCACAAACAAUGCCUAUGAUGGGUUUGUAGAGCCUGAUAUUCAGUAGAAGAGUGAAUUCCUUCCCCCGUUCGUAUUAUUUCUAAUUUAGCCCAUCCAAGAAAAGAAAUUAUAACCAAAAAAAGUAUUUAUAGUGUAAAAUUACUAUAUUUUAAUCAAAACUCUAGGAAGAAAAUAAAAUCAAACACUUCCUCAAAAAUACAAAAAGGGGAUUAGAGCUGCAAAUGCAUACACCCCUCGGACAAUUACUCGAAAAGGAGGAUCACGUGUCCACUUUAUCACCUUAACCUGGUCCCUACCACCAGUUCGCAUCCACGUGUCAAAAUCACACAUGAGAAAUUCAAUUCUGAUGCGGUGGAGAUGGAGGAUGGGACCCACCACAUGAUUGCCUUUUACACGCUUCUUUUAAGCUACCGAUGCGUGAUUUGCGCGCGUGAUUAAAAAAAUAAAAGAAAAACCUCUCACUCUUUACUCUUUACCCUUUGGUCUUUAGUUUAGGGAUGACAAUGGAUUAGAUCUGAUCUAAGAUUCACGUUAUCUAAAUUUAAUCGGAUCAGAUUUAGAUCGAUUUAAAAUAGAUUUAGAUUGGAUUUGAAUAUUGAUGUGUGGAUUUAAAACGGAUCUAGAGCAGAUCUGGAUCUAUCUUAAUAUCUAAAUUCAUAUUCAUAUCCACUCAUUUUUUUAUUUUAUUUUAAAAGUUUCUUAACAAUUGUAAAAUUAUAAUGAUAAUAAAUUUUAUUCAUAGCAUAUUAGUAGUAUUUACUAUGCAUUUAAACUCUUAAAACUUAAAAGUUAGUUUUGUAAAUUUAAAGGUCAACCAGCCCCAAAGCAUGUACAUGUAAUAUUCAAAUUGCAAGUCAAGUAAUAUAACAUAGAAAUUUAUUUUAUUAUAUUGGCCAAAUAAUUUUUAAGGAAUAUAGUUAUUCAUAUAUUUAGUCAUAUAUGGACAUAAUAAAAAUAAUAAAUGACUGAAUAUAAAUCAUAUUUAAUUUGUAUGCCAUUAUCUAAUGUUGUAGGAAUGACGAUAGAUGUAUCGUGGAGAUUAGAAUGAUAAAGGAGACAAUAGAAUAUUAUAUUGAUCUUACUCCUGCAAUUACUUAUGAAUGAUAUUUUAUUAUCUUUCUUAUUUGUUGUUUUGGUAUAAAAGUAUAAGCUACAUAUUAUAUUUUUGAGAAAAAUUAUAUAAUUUAUUUGUUAUCAAUUCAUUUUAGCCUUCUAAAAAAUUAUUACUUUUUUUAUUAUUAAAUUUUCACCCCUCGGACAAUUACUCGAAAAGGAGGAUCACGUGUCCACUUUAUCACCUUAACCUGGUCCCUACCACCAGUUCGCAUCCACGUGUCAAAAUCACACAUGAGAAAUUCAAUUCUGAUGCGGUGGAGAUGGAGGAUGGGACCCACCACAUGAUUGCCUUUUACACGCUUCUUUUAAGCUACCGAUGCGUGAUUUGCGCGCGUGAUUAAAAAAAUAAAAGAAAAACCUCUCACUCUUUACUCUUUACCCUUUGGUCUUUAGUUUAGGGAUGACAAUGGAUUAGAUCUGAUCUAAGAUUCACGUUAUCUAAAUUUAAUCGGAUCAGAUUUAGAUCGAUUUAAAAUAGAUUUAGAUUGGAUUUGAAUAUUGAUGUGUGGAUUUAAAACGGAUCUAGAGCAGAUCUGGAUCUAUCUUAAUAUCUAAAUUCAUAUUCAUAUCCACUCAUUUUUUUAUUUUAUUUUAAAAGUUUCUUAACAAUUGUAAAAUUAUAAUGAUAAUAAAUUUUAUUCAUAGCAUAUUAGUAGUAUUUACUAUGCAUUUAAACUCUUAAAACUUAAAAGUUAGUUUUGUAAAUUUAAAGGUCAACCAGCCCCAAAGCAUGUACAUGUAAUAUUCAAAUUGCAAGUCAAGUAAUAUAACAUAGAAAUUUAUUUUAUUAUAUUGGCCAAAUAAUUUUUAAGGAAUAUAGUUAUUCAUAUAUUUAGUCAUAUAUGGACAUAAUAAAAAUAAUAAAUGACUGAAUAUAAAUCAUAUUUAAUUUGUAUGCCAUUAUCUAAUGUUGUAGGAAUGACGAUAGAUGUAUCGUGGAGAUUAGAAUGAUAAAGGAGACAAUAGAAUAUUAUAUUGAUCUUACUCCUGCAAUUACUUAUGAAUGAUAUUUUAUUAUCUUUCUUAUUUGUUGUUUUGGUAUAAAAGUAUAAGCUACAUAUUAUAUUUUUGAGAAAAAUUAUAUAAUUUAUUUGUUAUCAAUUCAUUUUAGCCUUCUAAAAAAUUAUUACUUUUUUUAUUAUUAAAUUUUAAAAUUCAUGACGGACUAGAGCAGAUUUAGAUUUUUUUUUUUCAGAUUUGGAGCAGAUAUAGAUAUUUAUUUCUUUUUUAAAUUUAGAUAUGGAGCGAAAAAUAUAAAUUCAUGAUAGAUCUGAAGCAGAUAUAAAUCUUGAUAUUUAUUAUAGAUUUAAAUCUAAAACAGAAUAAAUCCAACCCAUAUCUGUCGCAUUAACAUCUCUACUUUAGUCUCGUACUCUCUCUCCUGCGAUUGCUUCGAUCUUUCGUAAAGACAUUUAAAAAUAAAAAUUAAAAAAAAAAUCUAGAAAUGAUCAAAAUAAAUCGUUGAAAAGUCAGACGAGUUGGAAUCUCAUGGAAGCCAGCCAUGACACAACACUACACUGGAUCUAAUGCUUAGUCAAAGUCAAACCGCCGGCUACUCCUUUUCUUUCCCGUCAACAACCGCAGCCUACUUUUUCUAUUUUAUUUUCUUCUUUUUUUCAUAUUUUUUAUUUCACUCAUUUAUUUGUAUUCCUUUUUUUUUGUAUGAAUGAUCCAUCGUAAAUAAAAUUUUGAGCAAAUGAAAAAAAAAAUCUAAAUAAUUCAUUGGUUCUAAAGACCCAAAUAAUAUUAACAUCGUCAAAUCAGGGUAAUGAUUGCAUUUGUUUUGACAGUAUAAAUAGGAAUUAGAAUGAAAAUUUCCCAUCUUGUAAUUAUAAUAACAAAAGAAGAAAACCAAGUUUGACGUAUAGAACUUCAGCUUAUAGCUCGUGCAUACCUUUUAUCCAACACGUUACUCACUAAAGUUGAACUCAUUUGAAAAAUACAGAAACAUAAACGAGUUAGUCAUAAUAUGAAUACAAUACAAAUAAAUAUCUGUUGACUAUAUGUAUUAUCUUUAAUUUUUUAUGUAAUAAUCAAAUAUCAAAAGCUUAAAUAGAAACGCAAUUUAAUAUCACAUUCACAAACUCCAUAAACUAUCGUUGAAAAGUUCAAAUUAAUAAUUUCUUUUCACAACUUACAUUUGUCUUUAAUAAAAGUCUAUUGAAACCUACCUCAUAAAUAAAUAUUACAAACACACACAAAAUAAACUUCUUUCCACAUAUAAGAUAUAUAUAUAUAUAUAUAAAGAAAAGAAAAGCGAUUUCCUAUUAGUUGGUCGAUAAUUCUCAAAAAUUAUAAUUAAUGCUAUAACAAUUUAUGUGAUACAUAUAAUUUUUAACGACAAAAUUAUUUUAUAAAUGGUAUUGUUCCAAUAAGAAAUAUUCCUAAAACACAAGAAAAAUGCAUACUCUUAUAUAUUUUGGAUAAAAUAAUUUGUAUUAAAAUGUUUUUUUUUUUUUUACUUUCUAGUUUAUUUUUGAAUUCCUUAUCAAAUAAUAACUCAUUAUAUAAAUAUCAAUAAAUAUUUUCAUAAAAAUAGUGUUCGAGGUUGUACCUUAUCUCUUGAUAUAAAAAUAUUCUACUCUAUUACCAAAAUUCGAUUCACUUUACGUAAACAUCCAAUCAGCGUUAAAAACGACACCGUUCAUCCCAAUUUAGGAACAUAACCACCAUCAUUAGUUCACUGCACCUUCUACAAAUACCAGCAACCACCCCUCUCCUUCUCCCCUUUCCCCCUCCACCGUGGCAUCUUGUUCGCUCUAAUCUGUUCGGACGAUUCGUUCAGGUAAUAAAACGCUGCGUUUCAGUUUCUAAAUUUAGAUCGUGUAGAUCUGGUCCUCUGUAUCUCCCGUUACCGUUCAAAUAAUUCUGUUACCAGUCAAAAUUCAGAUCUGGCCUUUAAUAGCUGUAUAAUCCAAAACAAUAAUAAAGGGAAGAAUUUGUUAGCAUGUUUUAUCUGUCUAUUUGUCUCCUUUAAAUUCGAUGCCUGAGAAGUUUUCACUUGCUCUAAAAUCGAAAUCGAACCGUUUCGUGUUGAAUCGAUUCGUUCGAUUUUCGAGAGUUUUGUAGUUUGAUUAGUGGAUGAAGUAGUUCGAAGUUUUUUUUUUUUCAAGGUUUGUUGUUUGUGUCUAGAUCUGUUGAACUCAUGAGUUAAUCUCGUCGUUUUCUGUUUUGUUCCCUCGAAAUAUGUGUUUUCCCUUCUGAUUUUUUUAAUGAUUUUGCCUAAUUUUUCUCGAGAAUUAAAGAGAUUUAUGAAUUGGGUUUGAUAUUUUAGUUUCAGAUGUUGAUUUAACAGGAUGAGAAAAUACGAAAAUUCGGCCUUGUUUGAGGUUCUGUUGAUGAUUUUGUCUAACUUUCUUGGCUACCAAACAGAAUUUUGAAUUAGUUUUCAUAUUUUUCUGUUCGAUGUUGAUUAUUUUUGUGAAUGAAUCAGCCGAUUUGUUAUUUGCUUUGCAGAGAAAAAUAUUUAUUUAUUUUUUUGUAAUUUCUUUGCUUGAUUUUUAUUUUUUUAUUUUCAUGCUAGACGUUGAUCAUCAUAGUUGAACAUGAUUUUGAUUUUUUUUUCUCUUUUUUCUUUUGGUGAAAAAAUCUCCUGAUUUUCUGCUGGGUUCCUAAGAGAAUUUUCUGUUGUUUUUCCUGAAACAAGAGAGACAUGUGAUUUGAGUUCUAUAUUUUAUUGUAACAGAAGCUGAUCUUUUGAUUUUUUUUUUUCUUUUGAACAGGCGUUUUUCUGUUUAUUAAAGCGGGUUUUUGAAGAUGAACCAGUUCUAUUAUCAGAAGAACGCCUUUGGCGCACACGAGGAGAGGUGUGACUCGUUCUCCGUCUCUGGUCAGAGGGAGUCUGUUGUUUGCCCUAAGCCUCGCCGUGUUGGAAUUUUGUCUAAUAUUCAUAACAGGCCAUUGAGAAGGCACAUGAGGUAAAAAUAAUGUUGUCUUUUUCAAAUGAUCUGUGUAUACUCUUUUGAGUUUGUUGAAGAUUAGUUUAGUUCUAAGAAAGUUUUGAUUUUUUUGCAGUCAUCCAGUUGAGGUGUCUGAUUCAAAAGCUGGGGCUGAGCUUCUAGACAUUAUUCUCAUGAAGGUAUUCACUUGCCGCUUUUGUCUAACUUGUAUCUGAGAGAUAUGUAUGAUCAUUUUGUGAUUGUUAUCCAUGUAGAAAUUGAUUUGAAUAGAUAGAAAGUUGCUUAGAAAUAAUCAAUCUAUUGCUUUUGUUUAUUUGAGUGCCAUACUUAUGGUAGGUGGGAUUGUUUUGUCAAAUUCUUUCAUGAUGGAACACAUUAAAUGGUGCUGGUCUGAUUUGUAUAUGCUUGUUUUGAACAUUAUAGGAGGGUCAUGGGGUGGAUCAAACUGCUUCCCAGGCAGCAUCUUCACCACCUUUUUUCUGUGGGUCUCCUCCAAGCAGGGCUGCCAACCCUUUAAUCCAAGAUGCCCGUUUUGGAGACGAGAAACUUAGUCCUUUGUCUUCAUUGCAAGUGCCACCCCCUUCUGGUUUACCAUCUCCAUCGUCAUCAGCACGUAAGGCCGGAUGUGCUAGAAUGAACUUUGGGCUUAAACCAGCCACUGUUAGAGUAGAAGGAUUUGAUUGCCUGAACAGGGAUCGCCAAAAUUCCAGCAUCCCUGCUAUGGCUUAGAACUGCAUAAAAGAUGAAAAAAGAAGCUGUAUAUAGAGAAGGAAGCUGAGCGCCAACAUAAUUCAACAAAGCACAGCAGACCUAACACGAGGGAGUUUUGAAUAUUUUUGAAGAGAAUGUAAGAAGAUAUGGUAGUAGUGUAUGUAUAUAUGUAAAAUGUGUUUUUCCAUUUUUAUUUUUUUUUUUUUGGCCGGUGAUCUAUCUCAUUGCUAAUAUCUCUGUAAGUAUUUUGAUUGAGCAAAUGAAAGAGAACGGCAACUCGGGGACGUUUUGAAGAGCUUGGCAUGGCCGGCUCUUCUUGUAAUAUAAGAUUUAGUAUUGGGAGGGAGUUGUGAUAAAGGAAAAUUUGUAUAGAGGGCUAUUGCCUAUUGGUGACUUAAUGUUAGUCAUUGACGCAUGUAAAUGUAUUUUGGCAGUUGUUAAUGGCCUGGCUUCCGUUCUUUCCUUGCAGUUUUUCUCUCUUCCUCUCUUCUGCUAAUUGCUAAAAGGGUACUCGAGUGAUGUUUGGACAUUUAUAUUUUAUAUUGAAUUUUGAAUUUUUUAAUUUUUAAAUGGCUAUUGUGUAUGAAAAAAAAUCAUCGGAUGAGAUGGGAUUUUAUCGAUGACUUCUAAGGAAUGAUCUCAUGUUCUGGACAGAUUGUGGAGUUGUGUGUUAUAUUAAAUAAUAAAUAAUAGCACAGCGGGGCAUGCAUGCAUGCAUGAAUAGGUUUGGGGUCAUUUUAUGUGAUUUUUCUAUUCGAGCGUUGGCCGCCUGAAUGAUUAGUCAAGUGAAUCAAAUUUGAAUUGGUCUCUCUUUGACGAGAACCAGUCGGUCAUCUACUAAUAUACUUUAUGAAUAAUAUAUUUUAUGUUAUUUUUCCUAAAGGUUUUGGAGACUCGCAAUUAUGUGGACUUCCAUGAUAUGUUCACAAAUGCUUAGCUGAGCAAAUAUACAAAAACUAUGUACCGUAGGGCAACGUGAUUUGGUCAAUUCCGCUGUGGCUGGGACCCCUCGAGAUGAAGCUAAACAAUCAUCUUUUCAUUGUUUUGUUUAUUCUCUUCUCUGUUGUGGUUCCGUGUGUGACCAGAUUAAGUGUAUCAUUGCCAUUGGGAUAUUUUGCUUCGUGCAAAUUCAACUAAUGCCUGAUUUUUUACGAAAAAAUUUCGGUGUUUCCUAUCCCCGGAGUUUAAAUUUCUGUAAUUUGGGCUUGGGACAGAGGCCCUUGGUUCCCAUUAGGCCGCGGCUCUAUUUCUUGGGCUUUUAAUAAUCUAAAUACUGAGUUUGUGUUGGGGCCGGGCGAGACACUAAUUAAAAAAAGUUUUCCCACUUUUUAUCUCAUGUUUUCAUAAUAAACAAUAAAAAAUAAAAGUGAAAACGAUAAUACAAGCCAUUCAGAAUGCCAUGAAUUUUAAGUAAGUAUCCUCCAAAAAGGAAAAGCAAGUGCGUGGAAAUGGCAACGUGAAUGUGCUGAUGCCACCGUAUUCGUGUAAUGUUUCCAAAAGAAUCAUUUCACAGUCAAAGAAGAAGACAACGACGAAAUGCUUGUCCUGUUUCUAUGUAGUUGAUGAAACACGCUCGCUGCUGAGAUAAGUCAUCUAACUACUUGUUCACUUAAUUUGUUCUUUGAAUCUUCCUAAAUUAAAUAAAUAUUUUAAUUAAAAAUUUGAUAAAAGUUCUUUUUAAACGGUAUAAAAUUAUUAUUUUAAACUAUAAACUUGUAAUUUUCGCUAUAGAUUAAUGGGAUGUAUUACCAAGUUAAUAAAGAUACAUUUUUUUUAUUAAAAACAAUUAUAUAAAUUUUAAAUAAUUUGAAAAAAAAAAACUUAUAUUUAUACAAAAUUGAUGCAUAAGUAUCAUAUUUUUGUUUUAUGUAAAUCAUGUUUAAGUUUAUAAAUUAUAAGGACAGAGUUUACUUAGAUAAUUUCAUUCAUUUAGAACAGAAUGCCUUUAAUUUUUAACUUCCGGUCAUUGUUGUUUUACCAAUCAAAAUUAAUCUUGUCAAAUUUUUAAUUACGAUACCAAAAUUUGCAGUGUAAUAUUAAGAAAAAGAAAAACACAUGCAAUUAGCACACGUAUUAUAUGAGAUUGAUUUUUAACCUUCUUUCAUUGUUGUUUUACUGAUCAAAUUUAGUCUUGUCAUAUUUUUAAUUAGAAUACCAAAUUUUGUAAUGUGAUAUUGAGAAAAAGAAAAACACAUGCAAUUUUGCACACACAUGACCGCAUAGAUUAUAUAUUGGGUACUAACUUUACAUCUUGUCAGAAUAUCAUCAUCUUAAUUAUCUAAGAAAACAUAUAUAAAUUUCUUUAGAUCAUGUUUGUCCACAAUAACAAUAAAGUAGAUAAGGUUGAAAACAUCUCACAUCAGUAGCUAGAUUUCUUCACAAUUUAUUUAGAACAGAAUGCCUUUGAUUUUUUAACCUUCUUCCAUUGUUGUUUUACUUAGCUUAUAAAAAUUAGUCUUGCAUAUUUUUUUUAGUUAUAAUACCAAACUUUGUAAUGUAAUAUUGAGAAAAGAGAAAAAACACAUGCAAUUGGUAUACACAUGACCACAUAGAUUAGAUACGAGGUACUAACUCCGUAGGUAGUCAAAAUAUUAUCAUCUUAAUUAUCUAAGAAAAACAUAUAUAGAUUUCUUUGAAUUCUGUUUGUUCAUAUAUAGUAAAAUAGAAAAGGUUUGAAAAAUCUGACAUCAGUACUUAGAUUUCUUCACAAUUUAUUUAGAACAGAGUGCCUUUCAUUUUUAACCUUCAUUCAUUGUUGUUUUACUUAUCAAAAUAAAUCUUGUCAGAUUUUUAAUUUUAUUACUAAAAUUUGUAAUGUAAUAUCAAGAAAAAGAAAAGCACAUACAAUUAGAUUUCAUUGGAUUCUGUUUGUCGAUAGUAAAGUAAAUAAGGUUAAAAAAUCUGACAUUAGUCUCCAACAAAAAAACAUGAUUUCAUUUUUCUUUCUGACACCAAUUCACAAAAUUAACAUAAAUCUCGAAUUUUGGUGAUGUAAGAUCGAGUCAUAAGAACUAAGAAUAAUAAUAAGAAAAAUUCUUUAAAAGACAAUUGUUGAAUUUAUGAAAACCCAUAUAUCAUCAAACAGACGCAACAAAUGAUUAAUUUCUUUGUACUGUUCAAAUAUAAUAUAAAUUAGCUAAAUAUUUUGUAAUAAAAAAAAAUUAAUGAAUAUUUCUAGUAUCAUAACAAACAAAUUCAUUAAAGAGGAAAAAACUCGUGCUCCAUUAUAUACGUGGCGACUGCAUGCAAGACCAACUUUGCAGCAAAACUACAAAACACUUUUCAUCAUCAAAAACGUUACAGAAGAUGAAGAAAAUUACAAAACGCUAAAAAAAGAAAGGAAAAAAAAAAAUUCCACACAGAGUAGAAGAGAGAAUAGAUUCAAAAUCGCAGGGCCACAAGACGAAAACUCCUGUCGGUCGUGGGACCCACAAGUCCACGUGUCCCGGCUGCAUGGCCACGUAUCCAUAAAGUACGAAGAAACGCACGAAGUUAGUUUCUUCUCUCCCAAAUUUUCCACUUAAAAUAUCGACUCAAAUUCGCAAGUACGUAUACCCCUCGAUAUCGAGUCAAUUCAAACGCAAGUUCAUGAAGAGUGCCAUUUUCUCGUGAGAUUCUUUUCUCGAGAAAAUGAUGAUGAAAGCCUAACUGAAAGGGGAGAAAAAAUAAAUAAUAAUAAGUUGAUAAAAAGACACAUGCGUUUGUACAUAAAUAGGCACUGUACUUCACUUGUCACCCAUCAACAAAAUCUUCGGCUGCACAGAAAACCCAGUUGCGCUUUCUCUCAACAAAAUGAAAAUGGCGAAGGUGAGCCCUGUUUUUGAAGGCAAGAUAAGCGGAGGAGGGGAAGAAGAUGAAGAAAAAGAAGCCGGGCGGUCGAGGAUGGCCAGGGAAAACGCGAAAGCCAGGAUACGUAACAUUAGAAGAGUGAGUGUCAGAGCUCGGCGUCCUUAUCAAAGAAGGAUGAUGACAAGAUCAAUGGCUGCGAUGAGUUCUUCUUCAUCAUCAUCACCACCACCAUCACCACUCGACACUAUCAAAGAGGACGAGCAGGAAGAGGAGGAUCAUCAAGAAAUGAACAAUAACAGUAAGGGUAAGGAGGAGGUGGUUGAACUUAAUGAAAAGGAGAAACAAGAAGUGAUUGUAAGUGAUGAAAAGGAGAGGGAGAAGGAGAAACAAGACGUGAUUGUAAAUGAUUCAAAGGAGAGGGAGAAGGAGAAACAAGACGUGAUUGUAAAUGAUGAAAAGAAGAGAGAGAAGGAGAAACAAGAAGUUAUUGUAAUUGAUGAAAAUGAGAGGGAGAAUGAGAAACACGAAGUGAUUGUAAUUGAUGUUGAUGAGGUAGAGGAUAAGCCUCAGGCUGAGGCGGAGGUGCCAGCGGCGGCUGGUGAUGGUGGUGUGAGGGAGAAGUACUAUUGUUGGCCAAAUGGGUGGUAUGAUGGGCUAGAUGAGUGGCCGAUGACGUGGAGCUAUGAGGAGGAGUGGCUUUGGUCGGGGAGGGGAUUAGGGUUUGGGCUGACUAAUCCUCAGUGGGAGUACAUUGACGGAGUGGGUUGGAUUGAUAAGAGACCCUGAGUCUGAGUGGUUAAAUGAAACCGGAGGUGCGUUCAUGUUCAAUUGUGUCCCCUAUAUAUAGAAGAGAAUCUCUGUCUUUAUUAAUAUGUCAGUAUGAUGUUUUGAGUAUAUAUGUAACUAAACAUAUGUAGCUAGCAAGCUAGUGUAUCAGUGCAUGUAGUUGGGUUAUAAAUAGUGUUUUGUUGUGUCGAAAUGUGAAUUUAGAUAUGCUUUAAUUAGUAAUUAUAUAAUUAACUAGCACAUUCAAUCUCUUUGCUGUUGACAUAUAAGGGGACAUUGAUUACAGCAUAUACAUAUACACAGGCUAAAUCCAACAUAUAUUAAUCUCUCGCAGCAACCUUCAAAUAUGAGAUUGAAAUGGGGUUUUGAAUUAUAUUUUGGUCAGUGAUUGCGUGAAAUGUCGAUAAUUCAAUGGAAAAACAUGUUAAUGGGCAUGUACGUCAACUAAUUAAUGAGGGUAAUGACAUAGGAACCAUGAUCUUCUAUCUUAAUAUUAUUAGAUAAGAUUGUAAAAAUAGUUAAAAUACGUUAAUCAUAAAUUGUUAUAAAUGCACAAAAUCAUAUAUGAUGUUUCGAAGUUUGUAGGAGAGUAUAUUCAUUUAUAUAGCGGCUCUAAAGUCAAAACAUUUUACAUUAGAUUUGAUUGUUUGGCAGCCUAACAUAUAUAUUUAGAUUUGGAUUCCUUGCUUUAAACUUGAAACCACUGUAUCAUUAUCCCCUAAUAAUUUGAUAGCUUACAUAUAUGCACAAAAUCAUAUAUGUGUAGUAGCCGAGCAUUUUAUUUGAUAGCUUUUAGUUAUCCUAUAAGCUGAUACAUACAAUUGUACAUAGUGUAUAUGGAUCAAUUUAUUAGACAAAUAAUUAACGAAAGAAUACCGUUAAAUAUUACUUUCUAUAUGCCUUUUAAGUAACUGAAAAAUCAAAACAAAAGAAUUUCAAUAACUGUUUUUAGUGAUUUUCUUUAGUUAAAAAAAUGACCGAGCAUGGGAAAUUUUUUUUAAUUACAAUAAAAUUUUUUUAUCAAAGAGAAUACCUAACUGUUUUUAACUAUAGUAAGAAAAAAAAAAUACUUCCAAGAUCAUGGGACAAAGGAUGAGAUCUCGAUAAAUUUGUGCGUAUAUAUCAGUAUAUGGAACGUCAUUCAUUCAUACAACCAAGCAUUUCAUUUUUUCAUAUAGAUGAGAAUUCCUGUAUUCUUGUAUUAAUUUAUCACGAGAAACUUUUUUUUUUUCAAUUUGGAUAAGACAAAUUAAGAUGCGUAAUUAAGCGUUGACUUAAAUUGGUAACAAAUUAAUUUUCAAUGAACUUAUAAAAAUAAUUCACAAGUGUAGUCUAAGCCUCUAAUUACUUGACAUAACCUACAUCCGUAUGAAUGAUUUUUUGCCAAAUUCCCGUGAGCAAUUCGGCAUUUGGAUGCUAGGUCAAUGUGGUCCUGAACAAGAAAUGCCUUAAUGUUAUAGUUAAAUGGUAAGAAGUAUUAAUUUUGUAGCUUGUUUAAGGAGUUGGAAUAUUGGCACACCUCUAACAUUCUCUUCAAACCCCCUUUAUGCAUAUAUAUAUUCUUUUUAAUUCAUAAAAUAACCUUCAUUUGCUGUACUUUCUUAAUAAACCAUGUGUUAGUAGUUUGAAAAAAAAUAUUAUUAGGCUCUCUCUCUCUCUCUCUCCUCUCUCCCAUUUCAAACCAUUUUUAAUUUCUUCUUUGUUACAUCAUUCAUGAAUUUUUAAUUUUUAUUCCCAUCUCUCUUUAUUUUCUUAGCAUGUAACAACUGGAGUGUACAUAUAAAGAUAAAUAAUGCAUAUAUGAAAGAAAAAACUUCGCAUAAGUAAACAAACUUCACAAAAUUAUUUUUUCUACAAAAAUUUAGUUUAUAUUUAGAUCAAAUCCUUAUUCCAUGACAAUUCACUGUUCAAACUUUGUAGAUUUAAUGAGUUUAUAAUAGAUAAAAAGGUAAAGAAAAUAUAGUUAGGUUUAAUUAGAUAAAUUUUAUUUUUAAUGUAAUUUAAAAUAUAAAGGAUAAAUUUGUAAAUUCAAAGCAAGAGGGGUUUCAAAAGAGAUAUGGAGGGGUGCCAAUAGCGUAACUCUUGUUAAAGUUCUGAAGUGCGCGAUUUUGAAUAUUCUAAGCUUGCAUUUGUAAUAUGAGCUUUCAUAUAUAUAUAUAUAUAUAUAUAUAUAUAUAUAUAUAUAUAUAUAUGUUGAUAGAAAUUAUUUGAAUGGCGGUUAUGACUGUAAUAUGAACAAAAACUGUUAUACACAGCCGCAAACCACUAACAUAUUGCAAGGAAUAUAUGUGUGUGAUAGUAUAAAUAAAACAAACAUAGGAUCGAAUAUACGUACAUUAGUGUUUCUGUAAGCUAAGAAAUAAUAAAAGAAAUUGCCUCACGGCUUUAUAAAAUGUUAUAAUUUUCUUAUUGUCAAAAUACUUAAAUAGACAGAUAGACGCUCAUAACCCCUUGAUUGGAUUCCCUUAACUUUAAAGCAAUUUAUCCACUCAUACAAGAUAAAAGCAAAUUCUAAAUUGAAAAGCGUUACCAUUACAACCCGGCUUUCCAUUCUACUGUGACAAGGAUUACUCCUUGUUUUCCUAAUUAUUUUCUCUUCUGCAUUAAUUUAUGAUUUCCUUUAAGACUACUUAUAUAUAAAAUUGUAAUGUCAUCGAGGCAAAGCUAUUUCUCAAGCAAUCAAUCGAUAAAACUUUCAGGCUUUGGCAAAUUUGAAGGUCGAUCCCCUCGCUCGAAGUGAUCAAAGGAUAUAGUUUAGUGGAAUUUGACGUGGCACCCCCUGCUUUCCUCAUCGUCAGCUGCUGGUGGCCUUGACAGAAUCAGACAUCACUUAAGGGCCCCUGCGUGGUUUUGAUAUAGUUAGAGAUAGAGAAACUGGAAAGUCCAGGGGCUAUGCGUUCUGUGUUUACCAACAUCUUUCAGUUUCAGUGAUUGCAUGCGCUACCCUGAAUGGGAUAAAAUUGGGAGAUAAGGCUCUCACUGUUAGACGGGCAAAUCUAGAUUGCCUCGGGGAGGAGGGGCGAAAAAUGUUAAAGAAGGUGAGGAUGAUAGAAUGGUCUACAAGGUAGGGUCGAUACAAUUCUCCGAAUUCUAAUUGAAAGGCCCAUUCAAGUCGAGAUUCAAUAUAAAAUUUUAUCCCAAAUUUAAAAUCUAGAUUGAGAUUCGGAACUCAAUUUUAUUUGGAUUUACUGUUCAGGACAUUUGAAAUCCUGAUUGGGAUCCUAAAUAUUUUCAAAUCAGGGCCUUUAGAAGCAUCUGACAAGUUGGUUUGAUCAAGUAUAUAAUUUAAUUUAUUAUUUUAAAAUCAGGGUCUUUAGAAGCAUAUGAUAAAUAGAUUUGAUUAAAUAAAUAAUCUAAUAUGUCGGUCAUAUGAAUAUGACAAGUCCAUUUAAUAAACAUGAAGCAUAUGACACAUCGAUCAUAAGUGUAUGGCAUGUUGUUUAUUACAGAAUCUACUGUGUACGACAAUAAACUCACAUCAUCCAAGACAUUCAGGGAUCAUAAUAUAUUUUUUAUCUUGAUUUACUGUUCACAACAAUAUUUAUGAUUUUUUUUUUAUUCCAUUUGAUGUCUCUAUUAGCAUUAGGAUUUUGUUUUAGGAUUUUAUUUUAUUUUGUUAAUGUUUUUGUUUGGAUUUUAAUUUACGAUUUCAAUUAUUAUUUGGUAUUUCCCUUGUAACCCUAUUAAUAGCGAUGUCCUUGGACUUUCAAAUUCAAAUUUAAAAAAAAAAAAAAGGAUGAUGCCAUAUAUCAGAAGGUAUUGUUUAAUUGGGGAUUAUUCCAUUAUUACUAGAAAAUGCUGAUGGCCGAGUGUAAACUUCUUGAAAAUGACAAGAACUCGUUUGUAAAACACAACCCUCAAGUUUGGAUUGGGAUGGGAGUUAGGAGAUGCUAAAGUCAAUUUCAUACAAAAUUGAAAAUUUCAAUAAAUUACAGAGAAACUUAUCAAAUUUUGAAAAACCUUAAAAGCGAUGUUUGUUUGAAUAUGACCAUUUAGCUUAUUUUGUCACCGAUUUUUUUUCAGACAUAUUUCUUUUAUUAAAUAAUACCUAAAAAUAAAUUAAUUACAGAGAACUUAAAUAUCACAAACCGCCAAACUUGCUCUUUCUAUCCUAAAUAUUGUUACGGACUGUUAACCAAUUUCUUGCACUAUACAUAAUAGAUGUCUUGUUUAAAUUCUUUGACCAGAUAUUUAACGAAGAUGGAUGAGAGGAGAGAGAAAGCGUGUAUUAAUGAUAAAAAGUAAAAAGAUUAAUGUCAUUUAAUUUAUUAAAUCCUCACCGUUGAUAUGUUUUAAAUCUAAAGGCUUAAAAUUAAUAUAAAAUUAAGUAUAAUUUUAGAGGGACGGACUUACCACUUGAGCUUGACUCCUACGUGUCAGUUUAAUGACCUUUUGAUAUCCUUUCAUUUCAAUCUAAUGGUCUGUUUACAACAAGAAAAACUAACAUCAAGGAGUUGCUUUCGUCUCUCUUACACUGUCGCCAAAGACUUCAUUCGUUGACGGGAAGGCGAAGCAAAAUGUUCUGAAUCAAGAGAGGGUGUGUGAAACAUUUCAAGCAUCGGAGAUAAUUUAUAAUCAAUGCAGUAAGAGAGACUAAAGAAAGCAUACAGUUCUUCUUAUCACCAACUUUAUCUCGUUAAAGGGAUGUCCACAAGUGUAGCUAUCGAAGAUUCAUCACUGACCUAUGGGCACACUUUUUGAAGAUUGUUUAGAUAAAACAUGAUCCACUAAACUUUGGGCUGAUAAAUGAUGAAAAACAAGUAAGCCACUGACAGGACAAACUUAAUUAUCUUUAUGAUAUGUAGAUUUGAGUUCUUGGUCCAAUUUAAAUCAACUAAAGUAGCAUGUACAGUGAAGUGGCUCAGGCUGUUAAUUAAAAAACUAAUCUUAGUUUUUGGAGUGAGACUAAUCCUCAAUUUAAUAUGUUUACUUAAUUAUAAGCUGGGAUGUCAGAAUUAUGAUCUGGGUUUGAAUUCUGAGAGUAAAUUGACGCAAUAGAAAGUGAAUGUACCGUGCCUUCAUUGGCCGAAGAUUUUGAAUUCUUCAAAGAAUCAGAUGUUCUUUUUGUUUAUAAUUGGACAUUUUGCAGGUCAUGACACGAGGUAACACACUGAAAAUUGCAGAGCAUUUUCAUCAUCUUCAUGAAUAAUACGUUUGGCUAUCCAAAUUAAAGCGAUCGAUUCUCCAAGGAGCUUGGAAUCCGGCACAGGUUUUGAGGGUUCAUUUGUAUUUAUUAUUUAUAAUUUGAUUGUUCUUCAAUUGGGUGCUCAAUACCUACAGCUCCACAACAGAGAAAUUAUGACCAACGAAUGAUAGAGAUGAUUGGCAAGAAUCAUAAAACUACUCUUUUAAUUCCAGUAAUUCUCACUCAUUAAACUGAACAUCCGAGACCCAGAUUAAUGAAACUGAAAACAAAGGAUUCAAUUAUUAAAAUAUAUAUAAAAAAAAAAAGCCAAAGUCGGGGAGAAAACCAAAAAAGUUUGAGCAGCAGCAACAGCAGCCUAAGUACAAAUUAAACGCAAACCGAACCCCCAUUGAUCGAAUGAUCAUUAUGGGGGUUACACAUAAUAAUAAUCAACAAUAUUGCAUGGGUGGUUACACAAAUUUAAUUGGGAACCUAGACGCCUGGUGGCUUGGCAGCAAGGAAACUGAUGCACUGCACUUGACGCUUGUUGUCAAAUCCGAUAAUUCGGACGAAUGAAUGUGGGUAUUCCUUCUGGACCUCCCCAACCUCCUUCAAAACCUGGGUUGCAUCUGUGCACCCAUACAUGGGCAGCUUCCACAUUGUCCAGUAGCGUCCAUCGUAGUAUCCUGGUGAGCUGUGGUGCUCACGGUACACCCAUCCUUUCUGCAGUCACGCCACCCAAAAGAAAAAACAAAAAAAAAAAAAUCAAAUAUCACCACCCAUUUGCCUGAUAAAAUCCGCUUAACCCAAAAGCUUAGAUUUUAAGUAAGCAAUUGUUAAUGCAGGUUUUGAUAUUGAAUGGAUAUCUCUGACCAAUAGAUUCAUGACAUGUGUAAUUUUUCUCCUAAAGCACAUAGAUAAGGUUCCGUCAAAAUAAUAGUAUAUAUUAAGAGAGACAGAGAGAGAGAGAGAGAGAGAGAGAAAUGACCUCCAACUCGAAUUCCAAGCAGGGAAUCCAGCCGGAGCGGAGAAGGUAACUGAUUUCCUUGAGCAAAGCUUCAUCGGACAGUGGCGGGAGGUAUGAGAGAGUCUCGAACUUCUUCAAGCCAGUUGGUGGCCACACCUGUAACAUACAAGCUCACAAGAAAAUUAAUUAAAAACAUAAUUGAGAGCUAAAAGAAGAAAGCCGUCAAUUUAAAGAAGCAAAAGAAGAAAUGAAUUCUUGUAUGAUUAUGAUGAUGACCUUCAUGCAUUGGACUCUUCCGCCGUUGCUUGCAAUGGAAGUAAUGUCAUUGUUGGUCUUCUUGGUUGCUGGGAAAGCAGAAGAAGACUUGAGGCCGGUGAAGGGGGCGACCAUGCUGGCCUGAGCAAGGCUGGCGCGGUUCGCGGUGGCAACGGUGGUCGAUGAGAUCAUUGAGGAAGCCAUUGGUACUUGCUCCUUCUUCUAGCUUUGCAAGUUCUUUUACUUAAUAGGAGGAUGCUCAGUGGCCAGUUG